rnacentral:lncRNA from 1 species
GAUAGGUAGUGAAGCACGACUCAUCAUAGAGCGAACCAUAUCCAAUAAGGUUCGAUUACGCCUUUCUGCCACACCAUUCAACUGCGGUGUCCUAGGAGGCGUCAAUUGCGAAACUAUUCCACACUCCUUGAGAUAAUCGUGGAAUUCAAGACUUAGGUACUCUCCUCCUCGAUCGGAUCGAAGCAUCUUGAUUUUCCUGCCCAAUUGAUUCUCCACUUCAUUCUUGAACUCUUUGAACUUUUCAAAGGUUUCUGACUUUUGCUUGAUUAAGUAGAUAUACCCAUAUCUACUAUAGUCAUCGGUAAAAGUCACAUAGAAGCGGUUCCCAUCCUUCGUGGUUGAUCUAAACGGUCCACAUACAUCGGUAUGUAUUAGGUCCAAUAGACCCUCGCCCCUUUCACAUGUACUCGUGAAGGGUGACUUAGUCAUCUUUCCAAGCAAACAAGACUCGCAUGUGUCAUCUUCCCUAAGGUCGAAUGACUCCAACACUCCAUCCUUUUGGAGUUGGGCUAUGCGUUUCUUGUUGACAUGUCCAAGACGACAAUGCCACAAGGAUGCUUUAUCCAUACUAGUGGAAGAAUCAAUAUUCAAAACAUCAUUUCCUAAGUUAUCAACAAUCAUAACGGUUUCAUAUAUUCCAUUACAUGGUAUAGCUUCAAAGUAAAAGACACCAUUUAGAUAAGCCAAAAUAGAACCAUUCUCAUUAUUAAAAGAAAAUCUAAAUCCUUGUCUAUAUAAACCAUGAAAUGAAAUGAUGUUUCUUGCCAUUUCUGGCGAAUAGCAACAAUUGUUCAAAUCUAAAACUAAACUAUUCCUAAGCACUAAGGAAUACACUCCAAUCUUGGUCACAGGCGACGAUCUUCUGUUCCCCAUGAUUAGAUUGAUCCUUCCUUGCUCCACAUCCCUACUUCUUCUUAGUCCCUGCACAUUAGAACAAAUGUGAUAACCACAACCGGUAUCAAGAACCCAAGAAAUAGCAUGAUUAGAAUCGUUAGAUUUGAUUGUAUAUAUACCUGCGAAAGAUGGCUUGAUCUUUCCUUCUUUGAUUGCUUGCAGGUAAUCCGGGCAGCUUCUCUUCCAAUGUCCUAUCUUGUGGCAGUGGUGGCACUCUGCCUCCUUCGGGUUAGAGCAGGGCUUGGCGGGAUCAACUUUGGUCCCACUAGAAGAGGCACCAUCUCGGGCUUUCACCUUGCGAUAGUUCUUCGAUGAAGCUUUCCUCUUCUUUCCCUUCCCUUGUCCAAUAGCCAAGACAGGAGCAGCGGGCGGAUUGGGAGUAGGUGCAACAGACUUGUCUUUGAAGUUGCUCUCAGCAACCCUCAAGAGACCUUGGAGCUUGCUUAGGGUGACCUCUUCUUUGUUCAUGUGGUAGGUCAUCCUAAAUUGGUUGUACAUCGGAGGCAAAGAGUGAAGCACCAUGUCGAUCGCCAAGUCUUCACCGAAGUCAACAUUUAACUUGCGGAGGCGGUCAACAUACCUUUGCAUCUUUUGCAAGUGCACGGUAAGAGAUUCUCCAUGACCCAUCUUCGCGGAAAUCAUGUUAGUGAAAAUCUCGUACCUCUCUUGUCUCGCGUUUUGGUGGUACCUCUCCAAUAAGUCUUGAUGCAUCUCGUACGGGUACAUGUCCUCGUAGGACUUUUGGAAUUCGGAGUUCAUGGUGGCGAUCAUGAUGCAAUGUACCUUCGUUGCAUCUCGCUCAUGAGUUUCAAAGGCGGUGAUUUCGGCGGGAGUAGCAAUUUCGGGGUUGAUUUUCUCGAGCUUCUCAUCGAGGACAUACUCCUUAUCCUCAUAGCGAGCAAUGGUGCGAAUGUAUCUUAUCCAUUCGCUAAAGUUCGUUCCAUCGAAGGUGACCUUUUGGCAAAGGCUCAUCAACGUGAAAGAACUAGCAGCAGCGUUGUUUGCGUUCGACAUCUACAAUUAGAAAAGGACAAAGAUAGAUUAGAAUAAGAAUCCCUAAUUAUCACCCAAUAAGAAAAUUAGGGCUAGGAUCCAACAAUAACAUUUACAUACUAGAAAAGGGAUGCCGUAAUCUAACAUGCAAAUAAAUUGAAGGUAAGUGAAUGACGAUUCACUAAUUCUCCAUCACAAAACUUAAACUAUUAGUCCUAAGUGUUUUUGAGAAUUCCUAGGUUCGGAUGAGAUUCAUUGAAACUAUUCAAUGGCAUGUUUAAAUCUCGAUAUGCCCCUCUUGUUUGUGACUGGGAUGCCGAGGAUCACAAAGCGGGUGUGAAUUACCAUGCAAAUUCACAUGGUGCCUUCAUUGUAACAAUCACCUAUUCGAUGUGCCGGUAAACCACACACGCUCCAUCGAACUAUGAUAAACAAUGAAUCACCCUUUGCCACCUUCGCUUAGAACCAAUUAGUGUGCCGGUAAACCACACACGCUCCACUAACAUCUUAGCAAGGUGCAAAGUGUAAUUUCAUGGGAUUGCAUCAAUUCACUUUUCCUAAAGUAACUAGGAUUGGGAAAUUUUAAAAAAAUGUGUAGUUACUUUAUAUUUCUUAUUAUACUUUUAAUGAGAGGAUGAGGUUGCCCUAUCCUACCCGUUCGGCUAACGACCCUCCACCAAUCAAGCAAGCGGUGGGUGUGAGUGUACACCCAUUAAGCGCCAUUUUAUAGGCCGCAACCUUAUACCCACCUUAUAGAUCGGCUUCGUGAAUGAGGCCUACUAACGGUAAGACUAGCAUUUAGUUAUACAUAUAUAUAUUAUUCUAGUAAUAUCAUAUUAGUAUAGGGUUGUAUUUUAAAACUUUUAAAAUCUAGGGUUUGAAAUUUAAGUUGUCUAAAUUAAAACUUUUAAUCACAAAAGUAAAUUUCAAAACAUGAGGGUAGGUUUUAAACAUUUAAAACAUGGAGGAUCAAAUAACAAAUAAUUCCAAUUAACAAUUAAUAUCCUAAUUAUCUAUAUUUGAUUUAUUCAAGAUUUCUUUUAAAGAUAAUUACCAAAAUAAUCAAAAUAAUUAAUUAAUUAUCAUAUAAGGAAAUUAAAUAUUUAAUUAGUUGAUAAUUACCUUUAACUAGAUCAAGAUAAUAGUUAUAUUUAUCAGAAAAACGAAUUAAUGUUGAUCUAAUUAGUUUAUGGUAAGUUAAGAUAAGAUAAACACAAAGAAAUCCCGAAUCUGGCCAUUCCUGACGCCUGGACUCGCCGAGUGCACAAAUGGACUCGCCGAGUCAGGCCUACUCGCCGAGUCCACUUUGAGACUCGCCGAGUCCAUGACUCAGAAACCAAAAAUUCGAAUUUUGCAGGUUUGUUUCAGUUAAUCAAGCAACAAUUUACAGAAAACCAAGCUAGGCUCUGAUACCACUGAUGGGUUUUAGCCAUAAGAACUUUCCUAUGUGCGCAUGCAAAACCCUAAUGCUUGGAUCUAGGCUUUCUAAUAAACAUGCUUUGAAUCCAAGUCUUCUAAUGACUAAUUAGGUUAAAUAACAACAUUGAAACAGAUCUAGAAUCAUACCUUUGAGUUCCUUGUUGAUCUUGAGGUCUUGGAGCUUCUAGAGUCACAAGUGUCACUCCUCUAAUGGCUUACAAACACCAACAGCAAUAAGAAUGAUUUAGGAGAGAGGAGAGGGGAGGAAUUCGACCAGAGUUCUCUUGCUUUUUCAGAAGUGUCGAAUUCCCUAUGCCAUGGGGUCUAUUUAUACUUGUAGAUUCCUUAAGGAUUACAGAUAAGUCCCUAUCAGAUAAUCUUCUCUUAAGGCUAUCCAAAUCCAUUCCUAGAUAACUCUAAUGGACGAUUUUAGCUAUCCUAAUCCUCUUAGAAUUCGUCCAUAGUAUAUCCAAAUGGAUUUACAGUUUAAAGCUUAACUAUCAAACAAUUGACAGUUUAUACCCCUUUAUUUAAUUAAUCUCUUUAAGUCACCAAAUUAAUUCUAAUUAAUUCUAUGACUUAUAUUAAUCAAAUAACAAAUAUAUUAUUCAUUAUAUUAUUCCCAUAAUAUAUUAAUAAUAUUUAUUCUCUCUUAAUAAAUCAUCCUAUCAAGUUGCUAUGGUGAAGGCAACCCAAAAGGACCAUGCACAACCGGAUAUAGUUACAGCCUUAGACACUAUUCCAACAAUAUUUAUGAGAGUAAUUACUUAAUGUGAUUAGGCGGAGGCUAGAUCAUAUUUCUACCGAGUUAGAGACUUACCAAGACACCUGAGGUGAGUCUUCUCACUAUACGUACCUAGAGCGGUAUUAUAUGUUGAACAGAGGGUCCUACGUGUUUUAUAUGAGAUUAUGUGCUAUAUGUUAUAUGUAUGUUGUAUGAUGUUAUAAACUGGACCGGAGGGUCGAACGAUAUAGACGGGGUCGGAGGGUCCAACGAGCUAUGACCGGACCAGAGGGUCNCAACGGGCUAUGACCACACCAAAGGGUCCAACGAGCUACGGUACUGGAGGGUCCCGCUGAGACACAUCAAUCAGAGGGUCGUAUUAUAGCCUCGAGUGGCGAAUUUGUUUUGUGCGGUAUUUUGGGAAACUCACUAAGCAUUUAUGCUUACAGUUGUUGUGUUAUGUGUUUCAGGUACUAGUGAUGAGCGCAGGAAGGCGCCGGCGUGAUUCGUACACACACACAUUGGAGUUAUAUAAAUUCUGAUCUUGGGGUUUUGUACUGAUACAAUGUUUUUAAAAUGAAUGUGAAUGCUAUUUUAUGGUUUUCAAAGUGAAAAAUUGUUUCAAAUUUUUACGUUGUUACAAGUUGGUAUCAGAGCCUUGGUUUGAGGGAUUCGGAUGCAUCUUCGGGCGUAUCUGAACUCAAACUGAGGAUUUGAGGAAAUUUUUUGAUAAUGAAGUAAAAUUUUUGAAAAGGGUAAAAAGAGUUUUGAGACAAACAAAGCAGAGCUGUGUGUACAAUCAGCCAGCGCCCGAACAGUGAAUCCCCAAAAGUACCCUUACAUUAUGUGUUAUGAUAUAUGCUAUGUUAUAUUAUGCAUGCUAAAGUAGGCAAGGUAUUCUUAUUAGGACUAGAGUGGCCUGAUUUGUGAUGCCUUAGCCUAGGAGAUUUCUGCUGCUGAGUUGCUUUGAGAGCUAGUAGAUAGCAAUUAAGAGCUCAUGAGAGGUCUAUCGGAGGGUAGCCAAUGCAUAAUGAGAGUAGAGUACUUGUGACCCAGGAUCCAAGGAGGAGGACUUGGGGUGAAUGCUGAUGCGGUGUUGUCAGUAGUAUAGGGCCCGUACUACUGAAGACACUGGAUCAGUGAGCAUUCCAAGUAAGAAUCCUUUGGAGAACGGAAGACGAGUAGGGUUGCGUCAUCGAGUAUGAGUAUGCUCGAUCGUGUCUCUGAUAUUUACUGUUGUAUUUCAGAAGCAUCAUGGUUGGGACUUGACACACACCUGAGAGCAGUGGUGUUAGCGACGAGGAGAUCCGUCGAUUGAUUCAUGAAGAGGUGGCUGCUGCCAUCCGGGCUGAGAUUCCAGAGAUGUUUGGGAACAUCAAGACCACAUUGAUUGAGACCUUUGAUGAGCGGUAUGCAGCACUGACUGAGGCUGCGGCAGCUNGGCUGCUGUUGUUGUUGCCAUACCUCAGGGAGGUGACUCGUUGUUGUUUUGGGAGUUCAGCAACACGAAGCCGCCAGAGUUCGAUGGGAUGCAGGACUCGAUUGCUGCGAUGAGAUGGAUCUCUGACAUCGAGGGAUGUUUCUAUACGUGUUCUUGUCCAGAGCACUUGAGGGUACGGUUCGCUUUGAACCAGCUCCACUUGGGAGCGAAGGAUUGGUGGAAGUUCGUGACGGCGAACUUCACUUUGGCAGAGAUUUCUGAGGUGACCUGGGAGAGGUUCACCGCUAUGUUCGGAGACGAAUAUGUUCCCCCGGUUGAGAGGGAACGGUUGAUUCAAGAGUUCUUUACCCUCAAGCAGGGUACUGAUUCUGUGGCAGUGAUCACCAGGAAGUUUCAUGAGAGGGCGAUGUUUUGCCCUGAGCAAGUGUCUUCUGAGCAGGCUUGUAUGAGCCGUUAUCUGAGUGUUCUGAGGAGAGAUAUUUGGGAGUUCGUGGCGAACUCGACUUACCGGACAUUUGCUGAGCUCCAGGAAAAUGCCUGGAAGAGGGAGAUUGAGUUGGAGACUCAACCCAAGGAGGAGGCCGAGUCACAGAGGGUGGAUCGGUGACUGGCUCAGUCUCAGCCAGCAGCCAAGCGGGCUAGACCUGCUGAUUCAAGAUAUGGGGGCGCGAAGGGCCGCACUUGUGGGAAGUGCGGCAAGAGUCACGAGGGGUCGUGCAGGGCUGGAGUAUGCUACAAGUGCGGGAAGGAGGGGCAUAUCGCGAGGGAUUGACCCAAGGGAUUUUCGGUUUGCUUUCAUUGCAACCAGACCGGCGAUUGGAAGGACGAGUGUCCUCAGUUACUUCAGGGAUCAACGCAGGGAUCUUCACCUGCUGCUAGGGAUACCAAGGUUCGGCCGGUGAAGGUCGAGGCACUGAAGGCUCGUGGGAGAGCUUUCCAGUUGACUGCGGUGGAGNGCGCCCGAUGUUGUGGCUGGUAUGUAUUCUAUAUUCAUCUUUUAAUUGAGUUGAGUUAUUGUGCUUAUAUGAUGAUGUGUGUAGGUACUUUUCUUGUGAGUUCUAUGCCUGCUUUGGUAUUAUUUGACUCAGGUGCGAGUCGGUCGUUUGUUUCCGUAGCAUUUAGUCAGCACAUUAGUAUCCAUCGAGAGGCGUUGGAUCGACCUUUGCGAGUUUCCAUAGCUGAUGAGCGAGCAGUGUAUGCUUCAGAUGUGAUUCGAGGAUGUGUCCUUGAGAUCUUCGGUGUGGAGUUUCCGAUAGAUCUAGUUCCGAUUGAGAUGGGGGAUGUGUGUGUUAUAGUGGGUAUGGAUUGGUUGAGCCAAUAUGGAACUGUGAUAGACUGCGAGCUUCAGUUGGUGACGAUACUAGACCCUAGUGGGGGAGUACUUAUAAUGUUCGGUAAGGGAACCCGAUGUGGGUCGGCGUUUUGUUCGACCGCCAGGGCGAGGCAGAGUUUGCAGCAAGGCUGCUGUGGAUUCGUAGCCUAUGUGACAGACACACGAGUGGCCGUUGGGAGGCCAAGUUCGAUUGAUGAGGUUCCGAUAGUGUGCGAGUUUCCGGAUGUUUUUCCCGAGGAACUACCGGGUGUGCCUCCCGAGAGGCAAGUAGCGUUCCGUAUCGAUUUGGUUCCGGGAGCAGCUCCUAUCGCCAAGGUGCCUUAUCUCCUCACGACACCAGAGAUGCAAGAGUUAUCCUUGCAGCUUCAGGAGCUGUUGGGGAAGGGGUUUAUUCGACUGAGUAGCUCACCUUAGGGAGCUCCGAUCCUCUUUGUCAAGAAGAAGGAUGGUUCACAUCAGAUGUGCAUUGACUAUCGAGAAUUGAACAAGCUAACGGUUAAGAACUGUUAUCCAUUGCCGAGGAUUGAUGAUUUGUUCGAUUAGUUGCAGGGAGCGUCUUGGUUCUCCAAGAUAGUCUUGAGUUCGGGUUAUCAUCAAAUGAGGGUUCGGGAUGAAGAUAUCCAGAAGAUAGCGUUCAGAACUCGUUAUGGGCAUUACAAGUUCGUGGUGAUGCCUUUUGGGCUCACCAAUGCACCAGGUGCGUUCAUGGAUCUCAUGAACAGGGUGUGCAGGCCGAUGCUGGACCGGUCGGUGAUUGUAUUCAUUGAUGAUAUUUUGGUGUANUUGGUGUAUUCGAGAUCCAGAGAGCAGCAUGAGGAGCAUUUGAGGGAGAUCCUUGGAGUUCUGAGAUCGGAGAGGCUUUAUGCCAAGUUCUCCAAAUGUGAGUUCUGGUUACGAGAGGUUCAGUUUUUGGGGCAUCUCGUCAACCAGAAUGAGAUAUUGGUCGAUCCGGCCAAGAUUGAGGCGGUCAUGAGGUGGGAGGUGCCGAGAUCACCCACGGAGAUCAGGAGCUUUCUGGGUUUGGCCGGCUAUUAUCAGAGAUCUAUUAAGGAUUUCUCCAAGAUCGCCGUGCCACUCACCAAGUUGACCCGGAAGGGUGCUGAAUUUUCUUGGGGUCCGGAGCAGCAGACCUCGUUCGAGACACUUCGCCAGAAAUUAUGCGAAGCCCCAGUAUUAGCCCUUCCAGAAGGGAUGGAGGAUUUUAUGGUAUAUUGUGAUGCAUCGAUAUCCGGAUUGGGAGCGGUGCUUAUGCAGAGGGGGCAUGUGAUAGCAUAUGCAUCGAUGUAGCUUAAGCCUCAUGAGUCGAGGUAUCCCACUCAUGAUCUAGAAUUGGUAGCGGUAGUGUUCGCCCUCAAGAUCUGGCGACACUAUCUGUAUGGGGUUCGGUGUACGAUAUACACAGACCACAAGAGCUUGAAGUAUUUGAUGGAUCAGCCCAACCUAAAUAUACGCCAAAGGAGGUGGUUGGAUGUGGUCAAGGAUUAUGAUUGGGAGAUCCUAUACCACCCGGACAAGGCUAAUGUUGUAGCCGAUGCACUGAGCCGUAGGGCGGAGGGCGCCCCGAUGCGAGAUGUUUGUUUGAGAUUGACAGUGAUGACCCCGGUGUUGGAUGCUAUUCGUGGGGCCCAGGCUGAGGCCGUGAGGCCAGAAAGCCAGAAGAGAGAGCGAGUUGUCGUGCUGGUAUCAGAAUUCGUUACCGAUAGCCGGGGGCUUAUGACAUUUCAGGGUCAGAUAUGGGUACCAUCUGUGGGCGGGACGCGUACCAUUUUGAUGGAAGAGGCUCAUCGAUCGAAGUUCUCGAUCCAUCCCGGGGCCACUAAGAUGUAUUUGGACCUGAAAAGGGAGUAUUGGUGGCCCUGUAUGAAGAGGGAUGUCGCAUGGUUUGUAGAGAGAUGCUUGACCUGUCGCAGGGUUAAGGCCAAGCACCAGCGUCCACAUGGUAAGCUGCAGCCAUUAGAGAUUCCCGAGUGGAAAUGGGAACAUAUUACCAUGGAUUUCAUCACCAAAUUGCCAAGGACUGCGAGAGGUGUCAAUGCAAUUUGGGUGAUUGUGGACAGGUUGACGAAGAGCGCUCACUUCCUUGCUAUCAGUGAGAGCUCUUCUGCGGAGAGGUUGGCAGAGAUGUACGUGAGAGAGGUGGUAUCGCGACAUGGAGUGCCGAUCUCGAUUGUCUCAUAUCGAGAUGUACGUUUUACUUCCAGAUUUUGGAAGAAGUUUCAUGAGGAAUUGGGUAUGAGACUGCAUUUUAGUACCGCAUACCACCCACAGACUGACGGGCAGAGUGAGCGGACGAUUCAGACGCUCAAGGACAUGCUCCGAACAUGUGUGUUGGAUUUUGGCAGGAGUUGGGACACGUACUUGCCCUUGGCAGAACUACAGGACUGGAGGGUCCUGCUGAGACACAUCGACCGGAGGGUCGUAUUAUAGCCUCGAGUGGCGUAUGUGUUGUAUGCGGUAUUUUGGGGAACUCACUAAGCAUUUAUGCUUACAGUUGUUGUGUUAUGUGUUUCAGGUACUAGCGAAGACCGUGGGAAGGCGCCGACGUGACUUGUACACACUAGAGAGAGAGUUUAAUUUGUAUGAUCUUGGGAUAUGUUAUGUUUCGAAAACUACUGUUGGAAAUAUUUGAGAGUAUUUUUAUAUGAACUUGGUUGAUGAAAAAUGAAAAAUUUGUUUUGAAAUUUACGUUGUUACAUAUGUGCUUUUGAAUCAUGUGCUUGAACAUGUGAGGCAUUAUCUAUGGUCAAGAUAUCUUCUAUUUCAUGGUUGAUAUUAUCAAGGAUUGAUAUAUGCCAUUUUUUUUCAUGCCUAGAGUUAUGAGUGGGGUACAUCUCGUCGAGCUAGAUUUAGAUGGUCAGGUAGAUUUUUGUGGGCCAUUAAUGGAAACAAAUCAGGGGUAUCUAUUGGAAGAUCAAUAGUUAGUGUUCAUAAGAUCAGUAGUUAGUGUUCAUAAGUGUUGCUACCAUUUCAAGGGAAGGAGCAGUAGCAAGAGGAUGAUGAUGGUAGUUUUAUGAGCUUGUUCGAACCAUUGGAAGUGUUAAAGAAAUUUUGAAGUUGUAUCGGUUAAAGAUGGUUAGAAUGCAUAAAUCCUUCAGUAAAUGGAAUAUAAUGUGGUAAUCCAUCAGUUCCGGUAAGGGGAUUCAUUAUUCGUUGCUUCCAGUAAGUUAGUUAGUGUGUAGAAAAAUCCAAGUGGGAGAGAACUAUUUGGAUGCCAGAUGAUAGAAUCAGGUACAAAAAUAGGGAGAGUUUCACCUCCUACUCAAGGGAAGUCAACUUAAGUGGUAUUUUGGAUAGAGGUUGCAUAAGGUUGGGAGUUCAGAAGCUUUCAACAUCAGAUUUGCACAUUCAUAGUAAUGCAUAACAGACAUAUGGAUGAAUCCAGGUCGAGGGUGGUGUUAUAAUUCCGAUCUUGAAGAAAUCCAAACGAUUUUGAUUCCAACAAACUCCGAUUCCAGUUUUUGGUUUUGAUCUGAUGACGGUUUUCAUGAAGUUCCGAUUUGUGAUAUGCAAUUUCAAUUUCGAAUCUGGUCUCAAUUCCAACAAUGAACUUGUUCGUUCCUGAAUCAAACAAUUAAACUUCCAUUUACGAUUCAACACUUCGCUCCGAAUCUAACAAUCACAGUUCCGUUUGCAUAACAAUGACUAUGAGAGGUUCGCUUCAAGUUCAAUUACUCACCUUUCAUUCUGAAUCCAUCGAUAACACAUCCAAAGCGAACCCAAACGAAUGUUUGUUUCCAUUCGUUUCCACGUGAGACCUUCGCUUCUUGUGAGAUUCGUGUCUAUGAGUUUCGCUUCUAUGACCUUCGCUUCAAUGAAUGAAUUAAGAACUGUAAAGCCUUUGCUACCAAGUAAUAGCCUAAUUAGUAGACAUAAAAUUCCGCUUCUAGUUACCAAGUUGGAUGAGUUUCGUUUUUUUUCGUUUGAUACCAGUGAAUUGCAAAUAAUGUGUAUCAUAUUUUAUCAUAGUUAUGGAAUUGACCCCUAGAGAAUCAGUAAAGAAUCAAAUGCAGCCCAAUGUACCGAUCAAACUUCAUCUUUUGAAUUUAACCUUUUAUUUCUUCAUAGUUUCGAACCAUCCCCUGCUAAAAGUACAUAUGACAACUUGCAUCCACUGUUUACUGCAACAUGUUAGAAUUUUACCCCUCUUGCUGAAAAUGUCUCUUUUCACCCUAUCUUUUCAACUUUUUCAGCAUUUUGUCAUUUCCAACAAUUAAAAGUCAAUGGAAAUUGAUUUCUUCAAUAAAAUUUCUCCUAUUUGAUUGAAUCUUCAUAAGAGUUCACCAUAUUUUGUCCAUUUUUCGUUUUUUUGAUAAUAAAGGAAAAAAUAUUUUUAUGGGACUUUUGAUACCCAUUUAAGGUUCAACAUUGAAGUUCGUUUCUUGCAAACCUAUUUAUUUGAAGAAAAUCUAUCAUCUUCUGAAAAUAAUACCCUCCUUUUAGUUGGAAAACAAAAAUUUCUAUAAAUUUCGUUAAAUUACCCAAAUUCUCUUUUCUUUUCCUUCCAACUUCUAACAUUUUUAUCUGAAGAAAAAAGAGAAUUAAGGUUUCUUUGAACAUGCUUGACUUUAACUUUCUCAACUUUUUCACAAGCAUUAGAAACUUGUACCUUGGGCAUCCAAACCUUCUUUAUUUUACUCUUGUUCUUUCUCUUCUUCUUCCUUUUCUUAUUUAUAGGCUUCAUAAACAAAUUUCAGAUUUGAACAACCUUUUCACCAUUCUAAAUCUGAUCAUUAGAAGACUUUGACACACAAACUUUUGGAGUUUGGUAAAUCUGGAUUUCUAGAAGAAUUGGCUUUCUAUAAGGAAUCAUUCCUUAAAAAACAUCAUCUGAAACAUCCCAAAAAUACAACCCAAAAAUUUCACUUUUAAGACAUCAUUAAAACCAUCAUUUUAUGACCAAAGUAUAAAAUCAAAAAAUAAGUGUUUCGAAAUCUCACAAUAUCUAUCACAUAUCAAAUCUCAUGUCAAAUGUCAUAUCAAAAUAUCAGAGUAAAACUCCCAGGUUGAAGACUGUGGUGUGUGCGAUGCGAUCAACCCGAGCCCUUCCCUUUGCUAGUGGAAGUAACUAAAAUGAAAACUGAAAACUGCAAGCACGAAGCUUAGUGAGCUACCUCAAACUACCACAUACCAUACAAUAAUAUAUAUAAAGCAAAUAUUGGGCCUUGCCCACUGCAUCGGACCGAAGUCUGGACUAACUAGGGCCUUGCCCGCUGCGUCGGACCGAAGUCCGGAAUAACUAGUGCCUUGCCCGCUGCAUCGGACCGAAGUCUAGACUAACUAAGGCCUCUCCCACUGCAUCGGACCGAAGUCUGGACUAACUACGGCCUCGCCCGCUGCAUCGGACCGAAGUCCGGAACAACUAGGGCCUUGCUCGCUGCAUCGGACUGAAGUCUGGAAUAAACUAAACAUAACAUAACAUGAUCGUAACAUAUACAUGCAUGAAUCACAAAGACAUCAAGCAUACAAACUACUUCUCGGGACUACCCUGGCAUCAGACCCAAGUUCGGAACUACUAUCACCUAAACGGGCCGGCAUUGUGGCCUUAGACCCGCUCCUACUAGAAGGAAACUCACCUCGCGUAGCUGACUGUUGAAAUAUUGAGCGGGAAUGUCUGAAUGCUAAUCCAUAAUUGCCACAAUGACACUUUGUCAAAACACUGAUAACUAUUGUCAGGGUAAAAUGACCAUUUUACCCUUGGCUAGUGUCAACAUCCUGGUCAAAGUCAACUUCCAGUUGACCUGACUCGCCGAGUUGGCUCUUCAACUCGUCGAGUCCCCUAGUCUUUCAUUUUUCCUCAACCCGAUUCUGCUCGCCGAGUACUCCUUUAUUCAUGAUAUCGGGAAAACCUUUAACUGACUCACUGAGUUGUAUGAACAACUCGUCGAGUCUAUCUUCAUCAUAUGAACAUGUCCAGUCUGUGAGUUGCCGAGUUGUAUGAACAAAUCGUCAAGUCUAUCUUCAUGGGUUGGGAGAUUGCCUUGGACUCGCCGAAUGUGUUCUUCCACUCGCCGAGUCCCAUGGUUUCCAGGCCAUGGUUAUGUCCUAAUAUGUUGAGUCACUCCUCUAGACUCAUCCAAUCUCUUCUAAACUCAAUUGGGUUCCCUUGAUCCCCGAACUGAUUUGGGGAAUCAACACAUGACUCGCCGAGUCCCAAAACGGACUCGUCGAGUCUAUUAAUGACCAAGUCUAUAACAUCUCCUCUUGAAUUCCUCCUUCUUCCUCUUCUUCACCCAAACUUCAAACACACAAGGUAGCUCAAGAAAUGACACACAAAUACUCACAAGGCUCAAAGGUGGCGGUUUAGGGUUUUCUGGACGUUGAGGGAGUGAUAAGGGAGGUCAUAGAGGCGUUAUGUUCUUUAAAUAGGGAGACAAACCCUUGAAAUUAGGGUUUUCAGCAAACGGCGCCUACUCUCCGAGUCGGUCUUCCAACUCGUCAAGUAGACUAAUUAGUUCCUGACACAGAUUCGAUCUUACUCGACGAGUUGGGUCUUCAACUCGUCGAGUCCAAGGGUAAAAUUAUAAAAUUGACUUAAUUAAAUGCAUACCUGGAACCGGGUGUUAAAACUCUCCCCCACUUUCCUUAGACUUCGUCCUCAAAGUCUGCUGUCUCUAAAAAUAACUCGGGGGUAGUGCCUCCUCAUAUCUUCCUCAGGCUCCGACGUCCACUCUGAACCCUUGUGGGGAUGCCACUGCACUUUAACUAACUCUACCUUUUGUUCCUCAGCUCCUUCGUUUUACACUCCAAAAUCACCAUCGGCCUCUCGGUAUAGUUCAGGCUAUCAUCAACCUAAAUGUCCUCAAGGGGUACCACCGCAGAAUCGUCCACUAGGCACUUCCGCAACUGCAUAACAUGGAAUGUGUUGUGGAUCUGGUUGAGCUCUGCUGGAAGAUAUAGCCGAUAAGCAACCCGACCUACCCGGGCCCGAACUCUAAAUGGACCAAAAAACCUGGGGCCCAGCUUGCCCCGCUUCCGGAAUCUGAUAACACCCUUCCAGGGUGACACUUUCAGGAGGACCAUAUCACCCACCUGAAACUCUAAGUCCGAACGCCGCUUGUCGGCGUAACUCUUCUGCCGACUCUGAGUAGUCUGGAGCCUGCUCCAGACUUGCUGAAUCAGCUCCGUGGUCUUGAGUACCACCUCCGUACUCCCCAUGAUCCUUUGACCAACCUCUCCCCAGCAGAUUGGGGUCCUACACUUCCUCUCAUAGAGCAUCUCAAAGGGAGGCCGGUCUAUACUGGAGUGAUAGCUGUUGUUGUAAGAAAAUUACACUAACGGAAGAUACGUAUCCCAACUGCCCCCAUGGUGAUGUCUUCCCAUUUCCACACGUGACUGUCGAGCGGCUACAUCUUGCCGUGGGGCCUCUGGUGCUCUGCCUUGACCUUCCUGCAGGUCAGGCAUCGCUCCACAUACCACGCUAUAUCCCGCUUCAUACAGGGACACAAAUAAUCUGGGCGAAGAUCCUGAUGCAUCUUCGUCGCCCCGAGAUGGAUGGAGAAUCUGGAUUUGUGGUCUUCAUCCUUCAAUAUCUGUCGUACCCUCCCCAGUAGGGCACCAGACCCUCCUAUGCAUGGUCAAUGGUCAAUGUUUAGGCUGGGGUAGCCUUUAUCAGUUAGACACUUAGUUGGAGCCUGGUGGUGAGACCAGGUGUGAGAAUGUUAGUCUCAAUGGUCGAUUGGGGAUUUGAUAUCACGGUUUAGUGGAAGGUUACCGUGGAAUCAAAAAAUUCCGGAUAGAUUUCAAGUGUAGAUCUUUAGAUUUCGAGAUAUGAGUUAUGCACCGGGUUGGAAAAUGGACGAGACUCGCGUUGGGAGUCGUCUUUGUAUAUAUAUUUAAAAGAUCUUUUCUUCAGCAAGUUGUGGGUAAGGAAUCUGCAUGCCAAAGGUAUUAGUUGGAUAAUUCAGGAUCAAAAGGUUGUUUUUCAGUUCAGAUUACAGUAAGAGGUACUAGUGAUUGUAUUUCGGGAUGGUCCUACCUGUGUGGAGGUCAGGUGAAGUCUCGGGUAUUUUGGAAUUAUAGCAGUGAGGUGUUGGUGUGUCAGUUUGUGGGUUGAUAAUUGUUCACCAUUAGGGUGUAUGAGUUCUAUUAAAUUUGGGUUUCAGUGGAGAAUGUCGACCACGAUGUAGCAAAGAGUUUUGGGCCGCAGGGGUUUAAUGAACCACCACGACAUGGUGAUUUUGACAUGACAUGGUGAUGGAUGUUGGGGAAAAGCUCUAAAGUUAAGGGAUGAACCCUAUUUAAAGAUCCUUAACCCCUCCUAGCCUCCCUCCCAUCAGCCUCCGUCCCUCCAAAUCCUCCCUUGCAAACCCUAGACCACUUGUGUGAAUUUUUGGCAUUAAAGAGUGUAGAGGUGGUGGAAGAUCAAUUGGGGAGUGAAAAGCAAAGAAGAUCCAUGAGCUUUCCUUCCUCUGGCAUUUCAAGGAGGUAUAAAGUCUUCACCUUGUUGAGUUAGUGGAUAGAUCUAUGGAUUUUCUCACUUUUCUCUACGUUUUGUUGCCUUGGAUGGGUGAACUUCAUAGAGUUUGCAACUUUAUGAAUCUCUAGGCCUUUUGGAGCAUUUGACUCUUAGGAUCUUGUAGCACCCGAUUCCUGGUAUAUAUUUUACUCAAAUAUAUUUCUUAUUUUGACCUGGGACUCAGAGAGUUGGUGACCCAACUCGUCGAGUAGAAGCGAAUUGGACACGGGAGUUAAGUGAGCGACUCGACGAGUCGGCAACCGGACUUGAUCCUUCCGCACUGUCUGGACAAAACCCUAAUUUAAGGGGGUUUACACCCUAUUUAAACGUCUCAUUCAGCCCCCUUCGUCUCUAUUGCCCUCAGAGCUCUCUAUAACCAAAACCCUAACUGUUUGUGUAAUAUAAGGCCAUUUUGGUGCUUGUGGUUGGUUUGUGAAGCUUUAAAGGGAGGAAGAAGCUUGGAAAUUCGAGUGGGGGCUUGUAGAUCCAGAGAUCUUAUUCCAUCUUCAGCUCAAGCAAGGUAAAUGCCCCUGUUUUGGUCUUUCUUUUGAUUGUUCGUCUUUAGGGCUUAGAUUUUGGGUGCAUUUAGGGCUUUCUAAGCCAUUUUCGGAUUUGUGAUGUGAUUCAUGGAGUUCUACUUUCAGAUCUGAGUCAUUGGAGGGGUCUCAUGGCAUAAAGGUGCCAACUUUAUGGCCAUGAGAGCCCCAUGCACAUUGUAGAGCACCUUUUAUGGAUUUUUGAGCCAAAAAACCCCAUGCAUGUACGCCAUGUUUGGAACUCCAUGAAUCACACCAAGUUUGGAACUUUACGUAUAAAAUGGACGUUAGGAGACAAAUCUAUGGUUUUGAUGUAUUAAGACCCAUUUAAAUCGACUGUAUAGUAUUGGUCAAGGAUAGACUCGCCGAGUUGUUCUUGGGACUCGACGAGUCGAGGCGUAAUGACCACCGAAUCCAUUUUGUGAAUAGACUAGUUGUUAGGGAGGGGAGUCCCGUAGAUGUUUAGAUGCGAAAAAGGACCUGACAACCAUGGGACUCGACGAGUGUAUGAACAUUGUCGACGAGUCCAAGGCAAUCUCCCAACAUUUGAAGAUGAAUUCGACGAGUUGUUCAUAUAACUCGGCGAGCCAAGGGCAUGACUUGUUCAUAGGAUGGUAAUGAACUCAACAAGUUGUUCAUACAACUCGGCGAGUCGGAUGAAGGCUCAUUCAGAGUUAUUUUAGAAGGAGAAAUCGUCAAGUCGUUGUCAAACUUGACGAGUUGAGGCGUGAAGAAGGCCAGAUGAAAGGAUAAGGACUCGACGAGUUGGCGGCCCAACUCGGCGAGUCGGGUCAACUGGAAGUUGACUUUGACUUUGACUUUGAUUUGACUUGGUCAAGGGUAAAAUAGUUAUUUUACCCUAAGAGUAGUUAUCAAUGUCUGAUUUAGUGUUUUAUGGAUUUAUAGCCGGAGGAUUUCCGGAGCAACAACAGACAGAGAUUUCCCGCACAGAUUAUCAGCAACUACUCAUUCGAGGUGAGUUACCUUCCAAUAGCGGUGGGUCUACGGCCACAAUGCUGGGCCACUAGUAGGAGUUGUAUGAUAGAUGAUCGUAUUUGUGAUAUCGUCUAGGUUUUCUACUACCUGAUAUGCUAUAUGCUGGCAUGAUAUGUUAUAUGUGAUAGUAGUAGAGUUCGGUUGUUAGGACCGAAGGGUAGGUCAGGCACCCGAGAUAUGUCUGACAGUAUGUGACGAUAUGUUUAUAUGCUGGCAUGAUAUUUUAUAUGUGAUAGUGGUGGUAGGAGGGGAGUAGUCCCCAAGUUCGAUUGUUAGGACCAACAGGUAGGUCGGCACCCCAGAAUGGCUUGACAUGGGUAGGUCGGCACCCCAGAAUGGCCGUACCGUGUGGGUCGGCACCCCAGAAUGGCCGUACCGGGUAGGUCGAGCACCCCAGAGUUACUCGGCAGUAUGUAUGCUAUAUGAUUUUAUGGUAUGUGGUACGAUGAGGGAACUCACUAAGCUUCGUGCUUACAGUUUACAAUUUUUGUUUCGGGUACUCCUUUAACGAAGGGGAAGGAGCUGGCGCGGUAGCAGCACAUCAUACACACGCAUUGGUUUCCGCACUUGAGACAUUUUGGGAUUAUGCUCUGACAUGUUACUUUUUUAUGAUUUUGAGUGUUCAGACAUGACAUAUUGACUUACAGAAUGAUAUAUUUUUAUGUAGUUUUCUGAUGAAUGUUUUUAUAAUCAGUUAAUUAAAAUGAAAUUUUUGGACUCGAAAUUUGGGUCGUUACAAGUUGGUAUCAGAGCCCUGGUUUGAGGGAUUCAGACACACCCUCGGGGAUGUCUAGAGUUAAACUGAAGGACUAAAAUAUUUUUACAAAGAAAAUGGUUUUCUAAAAGCUAAGUUAAAAUGUAUUAAGAACAAGGUGUGUGAUGUGCACGACCGGCCGAGCUCAAGUAAGUAUUCCCCAAAGUACCCAUACAAGUUUAUGUUAUGUUUAUCAGAUUUAGUAGAACAACAUGCUAGAAUAGGACUAAGGAUCUAGGAAUGAUGCCUUAUGCGCCUGCUUUAUGUGUUUCAACUUAUGAGAAUCGAAUGCUAGUAUUGAGUAGACAGUAGAAGAAUAGCCUAUUUAGGUUAUGCUUGAUACUACGAGCUUAACAUUGUAUGCUAGUACAGUUUCCUGUUAUGAGAAGAGAAUUGCUUGAGAUCAUUCCCUUUUUUCUGAAUGCUUCUUGGUUUGUGCUUAGUGGGACUAUGCAUGAUAGGAGUUAGCUAUUAGGUGGAUAUGUUAAAGUCACAUGGGAUCAGGGUUGACUAAUCUUAGAGGAUUGGAUAUGCGUGAAGAAAAUUAAACUCUAGAUCGAUUAGAUCUUUCACAGGUAUGAUUAUGGAAAUCGAACAAGACAAAAACAGUAAGAGAAUGAACACAUAAUGGAAUCAAAUGUAUGCUUAUGAUUCAAAUAAAGUCACGCCUAAGCAGAGCUCGAUGAAGAACUUACGCUGUAGAGGCGAGCUAGGGUUUACAAAACUCAAAGAAAAUAAAUGAUAAAAGCGAUAACUUCUAAGACUGCAUGCAUGCAACUUAUAUACUAAACCCUAGAAUAAAAACAUGCACGGUUGGACAGGCCCAAUACCGGCAAUCAAAACUGGGCUAAGGACCGAGCCCAUUACGCAAUCUAAUAAUCCCAACAAUCUCCCCCUUUGCGUCAAAUGAGGGGAGAGAUCAUUUCUUCUGGGUUGGCUUCACUGUCUUUAUUACUUUAAACAGAUGAGGAAUUAUUGCGAGAAGAGUCUGUCAAAACUAUAUGUACCACCUCAGCAUGUCAGUGAAUAACUUCUUAUCAGCAGCACUGUUUUGAUCACACCUCUGAAUGAUCUCCAAGAUGUGCUCUAGGAAAGACGUUGAGAAGAGGUGUUUGUCAACGAGAGCGAACAGACAUUUCUGACCUUCGCCUCUGAUGAACAUAAUAGUGUGGUACUUUGAAUCUAUCUUCCCCUUGACCAUAGUGUUGACAUUGCCUGCUCUGCCCAUAGUCUUUAUUGUCGUUUGCUUGUGAAUGGCAGAGGCAAUCUCCUAGUCCAUAUUCGCUACCUCGUGAAUGUAGCAUACAAGCAUACACUUGGGAUGAUCAAUUAUUGGAUGGUACUCCUGAGGAUUUGACAUUAAUAAACUUCCCCGCUGGGUAGGGCUUUAGAACCUUGACAGUAGUAAUUUUCUUGGAACUCCAGGUCAAGUACUAAGGUUGAGCAAACUCCAAAUAAAACUCCAAAAGAUCCUUAUCAACCUUCGGGUCCGGGGAAGGAAUUGUUGGGUUUUGAGCAUUCUAACACUCCUAAGUGUGCAUGCAACCCUAAAUACCUUGGAUCUAUGUUUUCUCUAUUAUACAUGCAAAUAAGAACUUCCAAGGUAUUAUCCUAAUCUAGCAUACAAAACAAUAAUGUAACAAGAUAGAAUACAUACCUCUUGAUGUAGAAAGUCUUCAUGAAGCUUGAGUGCUUAGUGCCCCAAGUGUGACACCUCAAAUGGAAUCACAAUCAUCAAAACACUUAGAAUGACUUGAGAGAAUUCUACACUCACCAAAAUCGGCUAGCCCUUUCUUGAAUACUACUAGUGGCCGAUUUUUCCUCAAUAAUAAGAUGCUUAUAUAGUUACACAAUUAGGGUAAACUCUUAAUUGUCAUGGCUUUCCAUUUCCUUGGAUCCAUGGGUACAAAUACACCAUGGAGCAUCCAUGGACCAUCCUAUGGGUUUUAGCCCAACUUGAUUAUCCAUGGAGCAUUAGCCCACUAUACAAGUAUGGAUGAUUUACACAAUCAACCCAUAUAUUUAAUUAGUCUUCUUUUGAUCACUUAAUUAAUCCUAGAUUAAUUCUUGAUCAAUACUAAUUAAAUAAUCUUAUUAUUCUUAUUAUUAAUAUACUAGAACUUAUAAUAUAUUAAUAACCAUAAGUGUCUUAUUUCUCUCAUUAUAGUCUAUCCAAGUGCAUGAUGGUAUGCAACCCAAAUGGACCAUGCCGGGUCGGGUCAAGUCUUACCAAUUAUAGUUAUGGACUUAGACAUUAAUCCAACAGUCUCCCACUUGGAUAAGUCUAAAACUAUUAUUGCGUAUGACUUCAGGAACCAACUGGCAAUCGUAGCUCUCAAAAGCUUCUGUCGAACUCUGACCUUGUAGAUGAACUCUGACCUUUGUCAAUGACUUGUCCAUUAGAUAAGGGAUCAUAUAUUCCUCCAUUCUAGAUAUCAUAUGGACUGAGACAUGGAUUAUAAUCAUUCUCUCUGUCCAUUUGUUGUUUCCCGAUUUCCGAUUUAUGACGACUGACUAAUUGAACAAAUCAAAUCAGUCCUGGCCCGGCCGAGCACUUCCAUUUGUCAUCAUCAAAUCAUCGAGGGGCCCACAGAUAUCGCUUUUAUCCCGAAGGUAAAAGGAAUGGAUAAACUUCGACUCAUAUGGCUUGUUCUACUACUUGUUGAAUCAUACACAAAGGCACGUUUUAUAGCACCGAGUUACCAAAUGCGUUUUCGUGCAAUCAAUGUACUAUCAACUCAUAGUAACAACUCAUAUCUCUAGGUUUGAAGAAUAUAAGAUAUUAUCGUCUCAUGAUCACUCGUGAUAAAAUCCAUGAAGUGAUUCCAAUGAGCGCGGGUUGAAUCCAAUACUCAGAACUUAUGAGCACUCAUGAGUGUUGUAGCCCUUUGUCCAACACCUUAGACCUCUACAAGCCAACCCAUGACAGUCUUAAUUCAUAUCUACUUCCAACAUAUGACCGACUGUGGAUGGUUUGAAUAACUUAGUCAUUCCGGAAGAAUAACCUAGUUUAUUCGGGAAGUCAAAACAUGCAAAGUGAAACACAAUAAUAAUUGAAUCCAAUAUGGUAUCAAAACCUAUGAACAUAAAUAAAACACCUUUUAUUUAUCACCAUAUGAUUACACAUUAUUCAUUGUAUACUGUUUCAGCUAUCAACUUUAUUCUUGAAUUUAAAACAAUAGUUGUCCCAUGCUCCAAGCAUGUACACUAUGUUUUCUAAACACUAGUCAUGCCAUACACCAAGUAUGCAUACUAUGUUUGUCUAUGAUCUUUACUUUGUGAAAUAGAUCAAUUGAACAUAACUCCAAUGAUUCUCUUUUCACAGUCCCAAAUCCUUACUGCAAAUGCAAGAAUUCCAAAUUCAUGCCAUUUACUGAAAUCUGUUAGAUUCUAAACUUAUAUGCAUUGAUCCUCUUGUAAUGAUUAUGCACAAAGUCAUAAAGACUUGACAACAAACAUUACAGAGCAUUCCAAAGGAGAUCAACUCCUUGGAAACAUCCUUCUUGCAUUAAGUUUCCUUAAUCUUACACAGAUUGAAAAUUCUAACUUUGAAACAUUUCUAGAUUCCAUUUUGACUAUCACUUAUGAACAAGAGUUGCCUCCUUACAGAUUAUGUCAAUAUGGUCCUUCCAGAAUUAUCACUAUACUUCCAACCGUCCUUGAGCAACCAAUCAUUGGUAAACCUUAGAUUGUCCUCGACAGUUGUUUAAUCCUUUUAGUCAUAUCCAGUUCUAAACCUUUUCCCUUCUUAAUGCCCCAGGCAUUUGGAAAAUUUUAGAAGGAUGAAUAUAGCACAUGUAAUCGAUCCUAUAUCCGAAGCAUAUGGGACACGAUUCAUGAUGUCUCACAUAAAGACUAAACCAGUCUUUUGCUAUAAUAUUUCCAUUUCAAUUUAUCAAGUUCUCAUAAUUCAGAUUAUGAAAAGGGAUGCCGUAAUCAUAAUCGAAUUUUAGAACGCAAACAGUGGACCCAGAUAUAGAAUUUCCUUAUGUUGAGCCAUUCCAACAUGAAAUUCAUAUAUAUACCCUUGACUAAAUACGAUUAAACCCUCAAUCUACGCUUUUAGAUUGAGAUGAAGUAUAAUUUCCUCUCCCUUAUUUAUAGCAAACAACAUUUUCCCAAUUGAAACCUUUUGUUUUCUAUAAUUAACAUUGCUAACUUGCAAUACUUAUCAUAAUUAUCAUGCUCCCACUAACAUGAUGAUUAUUAGCAUAACACUUAUGCUCCCACUAGCUUUGACAUGUACUCAGAAAUCAGCUGGACUUCUAGAAAUCAAUACUUCAUUGACUUUCUUACCAAAGUUCAGAUUUCUGAUACUAGAUUGUUUUGAUAAAACUUUAUCAAAAUCAUACACCUUCCCUUAGAUAGCACACUUGUGUGUCUAAACAAUUAUGAAGAGGGAUGCCGUAAUCAUAAUGGUUAGACCUUUUUGCCACUUCUCACAAGUCCAGGUUAGUGUGCCGGUAAACCACACACGCUCCACUAACGACUUUGAGAAUGCAAAUAUCACAAUUGCUAUCUAGCUAAAAUCUACUUAGUGAAAGUGUUUCCUCACCAUCAUUUUCAUGAAUCGGAGAGAAACCUUAUGACACUUAGAUUUAAUGGUGUAUGUGUUCUUAUCCAUGUGAAUUGUCAAAAUCAUAGUCACAAGACAAGGAUAAUGACAAAUCCAAACUCAUAUGGAUUGAACUCAAUCUUAAUUUCUUGCCACCUGGCAGCUCAAGGGCCUGCCAUUGCUUCCAAGUUGUUGUGCAACAAAUUGAGAACUCUAAGAACUCAUAUGCAAAGCCAACUUUAACUGGAAUGGGCACAGAAUAUGUCAACACGAUAGGUUAUAAACCUCAAGUCGUGUGCUAGUGAAGAACUUCAGGUUUUAUUCUUGAUUAGUUCUUGAGACUUUCAAGACCUUUAAGACUCCCACUGUCCUCUUGACCUAUAAGACUCCCUUGUCAAAUAUCCAAGAGAUAGUGUGGAUUCUAAUCAAGACAAACACUUCACACAAUUGGCCUAAGUUGGUCUUUGUUUUAUCCAAAACAUCACAACUUACCAAUUUCAAAUGUACAAGAGUAGAAAACUUUUACUCUUACAUUUGACAAGUGUUUUAAACCUUCUUUAAGACAUGUCACUCAAGUUACAAUCUUGGAGUAUGACUCUAAGACUUGUAUUGGAACGAAGUAUGACUCAUCUUCUUGAUUUAACCAUUUCAACAAUUCAAGAUCCCUCUUCUUAGUCAUAAGAAUGCACUAAGAUUUCCUUAGAGAACUAAUUGUGCUAUGGUUUCUUAAUCAUUAAGAUGAUCACCAAAACUGAUACUAAAGUACUCUCCCAUCUUUUCAGAUUUGAGAAACUUUUAUCCUUCUGCCUAAUUUGAUUCUUCUUAUUCGCUCUGCCAUACAUUGGAACCUUUUCCAAUGUCUCAGAGUUACACUUAAGCUUGUAAGUAUAAUCAUAUUUACUGAGCUUUUGUAAACUAUGACGAAUAGUUUUAUCAAUCUUUUGUGGUGGACUUGACCAGUGCACAAGAAUGUGUACUCGAUCCCUUAGUCCUUCACUUGACUCACACAUCCAUGUGAACAAGUAAUUAGUCUUAAUUUUCCAAUACUUGAAAGUUCUCAUUCAUCAUGCUAUACAACUUGCAUGAUUCCAAGUUCCGGUCCAAAUGAAACUUGGGUGAUGAGAAUUUUUCCUUAUUUGGUAAAUUUAGACAUUACCACAAAUGAAAGAAUCAAUUUCAUAUUUCCACUCUUGUUAUUAAUGGAAUCUUAUAAGAAACAAAAUUUUCCACAAAUGCCAUUGUAAGGAUAUUUUUAAAAUAAAUAAAAUCAAAAUUUUCCUUUUAUUUUAAAACUUUGCGGAAAAAUUAUCCUUACAGUGCAAAAGCACAUGAAAACAUUGUUGCUAUCCAUUCCUAAGCAAUAUAUCAUAACUCCUAAGAAGUAGCUCAAGAAUCCGAUCUUCAAACCAUGCGAUAGAAAUCCAUCUACGCGAACAGAUUCAACAUAUUGUUUCUUUAAGUUUCUUCACUUUUUCUUUGAUUCUUAAACAUCAACAUGUGACCCAGUCACAUCAUGUAUCAAGAAUCUCAUAAUGGAAACUUAGCAGAGUUAGAUAGUGGACUUUACCUGAAGUAGAGUCAAACUUAUUGACUUUAACACCCUUAGGUAAAUUUGGCAGCUUUGUAACUAGUGCCCCUUCCUUUGGCAAUAUAAACAUAUGGACCCUUUGGUAAUGGUACUAUCUCAGACUUAGCUUUUCUCUUUACCAUUUGGUCAACCAAGUUGACUAUGGUCAAUCCCUUUCCUUAGGAAGACAAUGCUUUUUCUGGAUUUCCAGUGUCACCAUUGUCAAUGUCCAUAAGGUUUUAGGAAGUUGAUCUUAGCAAAGAUCAUUAAGGGUCUUGUUAUAGUAUAUUUCAUAGGAAUCCCAAAAGAACUCACUAUGUGACUUAGAAGGUGAUUGAGCCACCAACUUUCUCAAGACUUUGACACCCAACUCUCCCAGCUUGUCAAUAUGUGACUACAUCUCCAAGAUGUGACCACACCUAGACCUUGCCUUUCCAAUAGGGCUUGAGUGACCUUAAACUUUUCAAGAACUUGUGGGUUAGGGAGAAUAAUUGGGGGAGGCGAAUGAAGUAUGAUUUCCAUGGGACAUCAUCUUCAUUAGGAAACCUUGUUUCAAGAGAUUUGGGAAGAUCAUAGGUGUCUAAACCAGACAUCUUUUGGGAGAUAUUCAAGAUAGUUGAUUUAAAGUCCUUAAUAUGACACCCAAUAUGAAAUAUUAAGGCUAGGACCCAACAAACUAUUUUAUAACUUAGAAGAGGUAUGCCGUAAUCCAAGCUAUAAAAUAUUUGAAGGUAGGUGAAUGACGAUUCACCAAUUUCCACCAAGAUAAACGAAAUGUAUUAUUAGGUUUUAAUUGGUUUUGAAACUCCUAGAUCUUUGAGAUUCAUUGAACUUUUCAAAGGCAUGUUUCAAUCUCGAGUGUGCCCUUCAGGUUUUGUGACUGGGAUGCCGAGGAUCACAAAACAAGGUGUGAAGUAACCAUGCAAAUCACUUGGUACCCUUAAUAAAUUACCCCUCAAUCGAUGUGCCGGUUAACCACACACGCUCCAUCGAUACUAUGAUAAAUAUUAAGUCACCCUUUACCUACCUUGUUAAGUCCAAGUUAGUGUGCCGGUUAACCACACACGCUCCACUAACGACUUAGACAAAGUGUAAAGUGUAAUUUCAUGGAUUAGCACCUUAUUCACAUUUUUCCUAAGUAACUAAGAUUGGGUAUUAUUAAGAGUUUAGUUACUUAGUAUUAUCAUUAAUACUUUUAAUGAAGGGAGAAUUCUAGUCCUGUCAAACCCGUUCGGCUAACGACCCUCCACCAGUCAAGCAAGCGGUGGGUGAGAGUGGACACCCAUUAAGUUGCCAUUUUAUAGGCAACAACCUUAUACCCACCUUAUAGACCGGCUUCGUGAAUGAGGCGUACUAGCGGUAAGACUGACUUUACUCUUAUACAUAUAUAUAUUAUUAACUUAUAAUAUUAUAAAGUAUAAGGGUUGAAUUUUAACUUUUAAAAUUCUAAGGGCUAACUUGGAAUUAAAGUAUUCAUAAGUGAAAACUUUUCAAAUUCCAAAACUUGAGGGCAAGUUUUGAAACUAUUCAAAACUAAUUAAUUCCAUAACUUAUGUGUUUAAAGUAGUUUUAAUCCAAAAACUCUUCAAGUUCCAUAACUUGAGGACAAGUUAUGGAAGACUUUAAACUAAUAAAAGAAUUAACUUUUCUUUAUUUUAUAACUUAUGGAAUUAAUUAAGGUUACACUUUAUUUAUUUAUUUAUUAAUGAAGUGACUCUUGAACCUCCAUAACUUAAGGACAAGACUCUUCAUUUUUUGUAACCUUUGCCAACUUUUAUGAGUUUUAUGAAACUUAAAUGUGACUUUUCAUAUAACUUGAGGACAAGUUACAAAAACACAUUUUAGAAUCAACUCUUAGAUUAAUUUGGAUUGAAAACAACUAUUUCACUCAACUUUUCUAUUAAUCUAAGCAACUCAUAAGAACAAGAUAAUUCAAAUCAAACUUUUUCAUGUAAUUAGUCUAAACCUUAAACUAAUACAAAACAUGAAUCUAUUGACAAUUAUCUUUGAAAUUGGAUUAGCAUGAACAUUACCACAUCAAAAACAAGUUUAUAAGUUCAAAAACAUCUUAGGGUAAUGUUCCUAGUCCAAUUCCAGCCAAAAAAGUCGAAUUUAUGCUGUCUGGGGGUCCAACUCGUCGAGUGCAUGAACCAACUCGGCGAGUUGGAUCGAAUUCAUCACUUUUUAGGCAUGGACUCACCGAGUCUCCUGAUGGACUCGCCGAGUCUGAUGAUCAGACAGCACCAAAUUCGUUUUUUCAGCUUCUUUUGCAGGUAUAACAAGAAAACAAGCCUAGGCUCUGAUACCACUGUUGGGUUUUGAGCAUUCUAACACUCCUAAGUGUACAUGCAACCCUAAAUACCUUGGAUCUAUGUUUUCUCUAUUAUACAUGCAAAUAAGAACAUCCAAGGUAUUAUCCUAAUCUAGCAUACAAAACAAUGAGUGUAACAAGAUAGAAUACAUACCUCUUUGAUGUAGAAAGUCUUCAUGAAGCUUGAGUGCCUAGUGCCCCAAGUGUGACACCUCAAAUGGUUCACACAACACCAAAUACACUUGGAAUAACUUGAGAGAAUUCAUUAAUUCUACACUUCAUGAAAAUCGGCUAGCCCUUUCUUACUCUCUCUAGUGGCCGAUUUUGGUGAAUAAUAUGAUGCUUAUAUAGUGUUACAAUUAGGGCAAACCCUAAUUGUCAUGACUUUCCAUUUCCUUGGAUCCAUGGGUACAAAUACACCAUGGAGCAUCCAUGGACCAUCCUAUGGGUUUUAGCCCAACUUGAUUAUCCAUGGAGCAUUAGCCCACUAUACAAGUAUGGAUGAUUUACACAAUCAACCCAUAUAUUUAAUUAGUCUUCUUUUGAUCACUUAAUUAAUCCUAGAUUAAUUCUUGAUCAAUACUAAUUAAAUAAUCUUAUUAUUCUUAUUAUUAAUAUACUAGAACUUAUAAUAUAUUAAUAACCAUAAGUGUCUUAUUUCUCUCAUUUUAGUCUAUCCAAGUGCAUGAUGCCAUGCAACCCAAAUGGACUAUGCCGGGUCGGGUCAAGUCUUACCAAUUAUAGUUAUGGACUUAGACAUUAAUCCAACAGGAAUAACAGUAGUCAAAUUGAAGCAAUGGAAGAUAAAUGCCUUUCGUGUGAUUGGCAUAUCGAACUGUGCAUCCUUGGAAUUGUCGAGCCCAAAGGACAUUACUGGCUCAAGCCAGAGAAUGCUUGGCUCAUCGAUUGCGCAUCGUUGAAGCGGAUCUAUAGUUCAGACAUGAAAAAUGGGAUUUUUCUUCUCUAGGAGCUCCGCUUCCUUUCGCUUCUACUCUAGCUCAGCUUUUUGUUUCUUGUAACUUUCUUCCAUUUCCUUUUCAGAGGGAUUUACCUUCUGAAAGGGAUUCUUGGGAUUCUCGGCAUAGACAUCAUCCUCAUUGUCUGUGUCAUCCUCGCCAAUUUUCUUCUUCUUUUUCUCCUUGUUACUGACCGAAGCUUCAUUACCCUUCGGUUCAGUAGAUAGUUUCGGCCCAGAAGGAGAUUGAGUUGUCACCUUCUCUCCCCCUUGUUUCGGUUGGACCCCAGUCACCGGAACACCCUCGAUACGACUAAAGAUGUCCAAUGCUGGUCUGAGCUUGUCUACCAGAUAGCGCCUGAUGGUUAUGGUGAUGAUGGGAUCGUGAGCCUCAAUGAGAUGAAGGAGGAUGGAGUGAAAAUCAGCAACAGAACUCCGAAUGACCUCCUUUUCUGACUUUAGGUCAAUAACCUAAGCAGUAGCAGUACGCAGCUUGUGGUUUUGCAGUUUGAGCUGUGAGGUGCGCCUGUCUAGCUCAUCCAUAAUACGAUUCUCUACAGCUAACUCAGCCUCCAGUUGAUUCAAUCGUUCAUUGUCGUUAGUGUGUAAAGAUUCGUUUGCUGCUUCAAUGGCCUGGCGUGCAACUUCAAGAUUGGAACGUUCAGAUUGAAGAGACCGUUAAAGGUUCUCCACCGAAGCGUUGACGGUUUGAGUGUUCUUUGCAGCAGCAGCCUGCAAGGAAUCUAAAAACUGGUGAGCUUCAAAAACUAGUUUAUCGACUUUUGCAGUCGCUUCCUUGUGCUCCUUAGUAGAAGCAUCAACAACAUGAGAGGCUUGUUGACAUUGUGAAGUAGAGGCUUCAAUUGCUUUAGCUGCAACAGAUAGCAUGGCACUGUGUUAUGUAACAACAGAGGAGAACAAGGCCUUCAAUGCAGCUUCAGAAUAAGCUCCGGAGGAAGAGGAUGAGAGCAGUUGAUCAAGCUUUUCAUUUACUGCCUUGAGAUGACGCUUUGUAACAUGCUCAUCGUCAUCAUCAUCAUCACUCUGCACCUGGUAAGGACUGAAAUACGUGGAAUCAAAUUCCAAGUCCUCACCGCCUAGAAUAGGGGUUGUUUCGGUUGAUUGAGUAGGAGAUAAGGGUUUGGUUGUGGUUGGAGGUUUGGUAGUGACUGGUGGUUCGGUUGUUACUGGUGGAUUGGGACCAGUAAAGUGAGCUCCUAUGGUAGUAGUGGUAGUAGUGGUAUCUAUGAAAAUGGGAGUAGGGAUGGGAAUUGUAUUGGAUGGUUGAGUGGUUGGAAUGGGAAAUAUAGGAGGGAUGGAUACUGGGAUGGUUACAGGUGAGGGUGAAGGAGGGUUAGAGCGAACUGAAAUUUAUGGGGUAGGGGAGCGAGGCGGAGUAUCACCUCGGCCCGAAGCCUCAUCAUCAGAGCUUUCGUUCUCAGAUUCUGAAGGAGGAGCGUUCUUAUGCUUAGGAGGGACAUACUUUGAAUCUGAAUCACUUGAGGAUUAUAGAAUAAGCCUCCUAGCAGGCUUCUUCUGCUUCUUCGGUUGAGCCUGUGAAGUUGCAGCCUUAUCAGACUUUUGCUUCUUGGGGGUUUGCCCUUUGGUUGGUUUAGAGACAGGUCCUUCCUUCUGAUUAUCAGUCUUCUUACCCCUUUUGGCUGGCUUGUCAGCCUCUUCAAUAGAGCGAACCAUGGCUAGCGUAAGCUCCCUUGGACCGGAUGAUGGAUACUUCCUGUAUUGUUGGAGAACAUUACUCGACGCAGAGAUACGACCGAGCAUUGCUUCAGGAAUGGAUCCAAUAAAGGAGUACUUGGUUGGAUCUGUGACAAUGAUUUUGGUAGUGUGAAAGGUAGCAAUGGAUGAGAGAAGAGAAUCUGCUAUUAUUGGAACACGAAGGCGGUCCAUUGCCAUGUUGGUGAUGAUCGACCAAAAUCGCCUACAUGAAAUCUUAGAAUGCCUGGAUGAAGAGACCAAGCUUUGAACCAACUGCUGCCAGAUAAUAGACCCAUAAUCUAAGUCGAUCCCAUGGUACAGACCAUACAACACAGUCAUAAAAGACUUGCUCGCACCAUCUAAGCCAGCACUUCGCUCAGAAAGUCCCUUGAACAGCAACCUGAAAAGGCCAUUCCAUUGAGCAGGAAGGCAGGACUUCUUGAACUUUGUGAUUGUGGUGAGGGUUUUGGUAUACCCCAUCUGAUAGAACAUGGAAAAUAAUUGACCAGUGGUGAUGGAUUCAUGGUUUACCAGAGAUUGUUCUUGAGAAUGACCAAUUAGGGCACAUAAUCGAUGCUUGGAGAUAGAGGUCUUCUCAUCGUGGAGUUCGAAGUGAAUCCUUUCAUUAACCUUGUUGUAAUAGGCAGUAGAGUAGACAAGGGAAAUGCAAUACAUUGGUACGACUUCGACUUUAGUCAUUGCCUCGACGAGAGGUGAGUAUUUGAGACACUCAACAACGUAUAACAUGAAUGGAUGAUAGAUAAACGAGGUGAGAUCGAUGAUCAGGUUCUGUUGGGGUUUGAUUGUGAGAAGUGGUUGACGAACGGAUGUAUCAUGAACGGAUGAAGAGUCGGCCAUUGUAGUAGCUUUGAGAAGAUGAUGAACAGUUGCAAAAAUCGCCUGUUUUCUUUGAGAGAGAAUGGUAAGUGGUAAAAGUUGAGAGAGUACCGGUCCAAUUCCUUUUAUACGUACAAGGAAGAGAGAGAAAAAUCCGGCUGACAUCUUGGAUUAUCUCAAAAAUAGCGCAUGACUUGAUGGAUGAACAGUUGGCAUGCCGAUGAUGACGCAGGAAAGAGAAAGGACAUUUCCUUUUUACACGCCAUUCCAUAAAAUUCACUUUUUGAAAUCGCCAAACCAUUUGGAUAACCGCUGAGUCAGCAUUCACUUUAUCCCAAUCGUCAUUCCAAAAUGCGUUUGAAUCUCCGUUGCUUAUAGUGCUUUAUGGAAUAGUCAUAAAAGAACUUGAGUGUGGAAAAUUAAAAAUUUUCGUGCAUAGGGUGUAAAAGAUAAAUAAAUAAAGCAAAAUUUAUGGGAUAAUCUGUGAUGCCUUAAGUAGACAUAAAACUAUGGAUUCUAGGCAUAAAUCACUUCCUUCAAAGUCAAGAGAGACAUUAAAGUGCUUUCUUGGUUUCCCAUUAAAUAACAAUCAAUAACUUGUUAAGAAGUAUUGAAAGGCAUCUUUUGAAGGUUAUAAAGGGUGACUUUCGCUUCAAUUCAUCAUUUCGGUACUUGACAUAAGACCGAAACUGAAUGAAGUACUUGUGAGAUCAUUGAGAUCUGUUGAACAAGUAGGCAGGAUAAAUUUUGUAGUGACGAAAGGAAGUAAGGAAAUCUCAAAAAAAAUAAACUAGAUCUUCAGGGUAAGAGAAGCCUUAGUGAAAGACAAACUCAUAAAGAUCACUCAAAAAUAAAAAGAGACUUCAUUUGGUAACAAGUAAGAUCUUGAAUAUUAGAAUUCACCGUCAAUUCAUUAGUGGUGUUGAACUUUGGGUUUCGCUUAGUACAUAGUGGCAUGAAACUAAGAUCAUGAACACAAAUUUUGUAUAAUCGUAAACCUCAGUGGUUGAUACUGAGAGUCUCAGGGGUUAUAUUGGUGAAACGAAUUAUAAUGGAGAAAGGUGAUGGAGAUGGUAUAAGAAGAGAAUGUACCUCUGCUUUAAAGAAAAGAAUGAUCAAACAGAAAACCCUAAACUCAAUUUGAGUAGAGUAAGGUAGCUCAUGAUUAGAGUGAACUUGACAACCUAGAUUGCGAAAACAUGAUUGGUGUAUAUCAUGUUAUUAAGGCUUCACUCAAAAAUCAUUCGAGGCUUUAGUCAACAUACAGCAGCAUGCUUCUAGGGACUCCUAACUAAUAAAACCAUUUACCUGCCUUAGCUUUGCCAUAGAGAAUCACACUUAGACAAAAAGAUAAAAACUUUAGAUAUAUAAGAUAAAUCAAAUAAAAAAAAUAUUUUUGAAUUUUGUGAGAAUUGACCAAUUAAACGAAAGAGAAAAAUAUUUUUGGAUUUCAUAAGAGUUUUUAUGAGAAUAAAAGAGAAAAAUAUUUUUGGAAUUUUAUAAGUAGAAAAGAAGUAAAGAAAAAAUGUACAAAAGAAUACAGUUAAAAUGCCUUGUUAAGAAAAAGAAGCAAACGAGUUCAGAAGGACCGAACCCGAAAUAGACCGAACGUUUGGUUCAUUUCGGUUCAUGGUCGAACUUAACCUGAAAUAGACCGAACGUUCGGUUCAUUUCGGUUCAUUUCGGUUCGCUCUAUUUCGCUUGUUACCUUUACGGAAGCGAAGGCGAUUUCGGUACAGAUUUGGCUUGCAUCUUUCCUAGGCCUUGUAGAAUCUUAUUGAAGCUUGCUUCAGGUAAGGCCUUCGUGAAUAUAUCUGCCAGUUGAUCAGUCGUUCUGACGAAGUGAAUUUCUACGUUACCAUCUUCGACGUGAUCCUUGAUGAAGUGGUACCUCAGUGUUAUAUGCUUAGUCUCGAGUGUUGCACUGGGUUGUGACAAAUCCUAAUUGUGAUUUCAGAGUCGCAAUAUAGUGGGAUUUUAUUCAUGUUUAGCCCAUAAUCCCUAAGUUGGCUUUGUAUCCAUACGACUUGAGAUGUGCAUGAUGCUGCAGCAAUGUAUUCAACUUCUGCAGUGGAAAGCGAAACAUAGGUUUGUUUCUUCGAUUGCCAACUGACCAAUUUACCAUCUAGAAAUUGACAUCCUCCAGUGGUGCUUUUACGAUCUAAUCCACAGCCACCUAAGUCAACAUCUGAGAAUGCUUGAACAAAGAAUCCUGAGUUGGCUGGAUACCACAGACCGAGAGAAGAGGUUCGCUUCAGAUAGCGAAAAUAUGUUUUUCACGGCUUGUAGAUGAGGUUCGCAUGGGUUGGCUUGAAAUCUUGCACAGUAACAGACUGAAAACAUGAUGUCAGGUCUACUGGCUGUAAGAUACAUCAGAGACCCAAUCAUUUGUCGAUAGAGCGUCAUAUCAGCUGCUGUUUUCUCCAAUGAGGGUGUAAGCUUUGUUCCAAAGGCCAUAGGCACUUUCACUUUGGAGUCUCCCAUCAUCCCAAAUUUAGCUAAUAGAGUCUUGGUGUAUGCCUCUUGAUUAAUAAAAAUGCCUUCGGGUCCCUGUCUAAUGUUCAAUCCAAGAAAAAAGUUAAUUGGACCCAUUGAGCUCAUCUCAAAUUUAGUUUCCAUCAACUUCCUGAAUUUUGCUGUUAAGCUAGGAUUCAUGGAGCCAAAGAUGAAGUCAUCAACAUAAAUUUGGACUAUCAUAAGGUGGUUACUUUCUCGCUUAUGAAAGAAGGUUGGGUCAACCGAACCUUUUUUGAAUUUGGACAUUUUUAAGAAACGAGUGAGAUUUUCAUACCAUGCUAUGGGAGCUUGUUUUAGGCCAAAUACAGCUUUGUCAAAGACAUAACAAUGAUCUGGAUACUUGUCGUUCACGAAGCCUGGCGGUUGCUCAACAUAUACAGUUUCUUCAAGUUCCCCGUUGAGGAAGGCACAUUUGACGUCCAUCUGAUAGACUUUUAAAGUUUUUGUGAGCUGCAUAGGCAAGAAAGAUACGAACAGACUCUAAUCUUGCAACUGGAGCGAAGGUCUCUUCAUAAUCGAUUCCCUCUUCCUGACAGUAUCCUUUGACCACGACAUUCCCCUCCUUGUCCAUCUUGUUUCUGAAUACCCAUUUGAGACCGACAACCGAAGCAUCCUUUGGAGCUGGAAUAAGACGCCAUACUUUGUUUCUUUCAAACUCAUUUAAUUUAUCUUGCAUGGCGUGAACCCAGUCUGAAUGAUCAAGUGCUGAGUUAACAGUCUUCGGUUUAACUUUGGAAACAAAGGAGCUGAACAUGCAAAAGUCUACUUUAGAAAAGAGUGCAUCCUGUUUUGCUUUGAUUUGAGAAUGAGUUAACACUUUUUCUGAAGAUUCCCCGAUAAUUUGACUUUGAGGAUGAUCUUUGGCCCAUUUGAUAAGUGGAGGGUAAUUUAGAUCAUAAGUGGGAUCCAAUUCGGCAUUUAUUUCUUCUUCUAACUCAGACAUAAUGUCAUCAUCAUUGACGUUGGUGUUCUCCCCCUCGAAGAAUGACUCCUAUUCAGGACCAGUAUUGGUAUUCCCUUAUUUGAUUGGAAUUUCAGUAGAGCUUGAAGAAUGAGACGAUGAGUUCUCCCUAUGGAACGAUGAACCUUGAUCAUGAUGAGGAGUUGGACCCUCCCCCUGGACAUUAGGACGGUCACAUGAAGGUUCGCUUGCUCCUGGCCUUUCGGUUUCUUUGGAUUGGUCAUCAGCCAUCUUUUGAGCAGCGUCGUCGAUAACUUGUUUUAGAUUAUCAACUUUGUUGUCUUUUGCAGUUGAUUCAGAGGCAAUCACUUUUUGAGGCUCAUCAAACAGAAGCAUGUAUUGCUCGAAAAGAUUUGAGAUAGAGAUCGUAACCUGACCAUUCUUUGGAAAGAUCUCUUGCGUUGCACCUUCUAUUGAUUUCAUCUUCUUAACAUAACUGUCGUCAAAGGUGACAUAAUAUGUUUCUUCAAUUUUCUUUGAGCGCUUAUUGAGAACUCUAUACGCCUUGGAGUUCAAGGAGUAGCCUAAGAAAAUUCCUUCAUCAGCCUUAGCAUUGAACUUGUUUCGAUUCUCUCUAUAGUUGAAGAUGAAACAUCUUGAACCGAACACAUGAAAGAAUUUCACAUUUGGUUUACGAUUAUUCAAAAUUUCAUAAGGUGCAAUGGAGAACCACUUGUUUAAAUAUGAUUUUUUUUUUUAGUAUAACAUGCAGCGGCAAUUGCAUCAGCCCAGAAAUACAAACGUAAGGACGCAAAGCAAUGCAUUGUUCGAGCUGCUUCACACAGAGAUCGGUUUCGCCUUUCAACGAUACUAUUCUGCUAUGGAGUAUAAGGGGCUGAGAAAUUGUGAGUCGUCCCCUUUUUAGCAAGAAAGUCUUCAAAAUAUUUGUUCUUGAAUUCCAAGCCAUUGUCGCUUCUCACAUUACGAACGAAUUUCCUUAGUUGUGUCUCUAUCUGUUUAAUAAAGAGCUUAAUCUUUGGAGUGGCUUCAGACUUUUGCUUCAGGAAGAAUACCCAUGUAAAUCUAGAGAAAUUGUCCACUAUAACCAGAAUGUAGUUGUUCCCCCCAAUGCUUUCAAUGGACGAUGGACGACAAAGGUCAAUAUGCAGCAGCUCCAAUGGUUCUUUCACCUUAGUAUUGAUAAUAGAAGGGUGACUUUGCCUACUCUACUUUCCCAUUUCACAUGCUGCACAAAUAUCUUAUUUAUCAAAUUUUAGAACUGGAAGACCUCGAACAUGAUCACCCAUGACCAACUUGUUGAUAUCCUUGAAAUUCAGAUGAGACAGUCUUCUAUGCCAUAACUAGCUUUCAUCAGAGUGAGCCUUUGUGAGUAAGCAAACUGCUGGUUUACCUCAAAUUGGGUUGAGGUUCAAAGGAUACAUUUCCCCCUUUCGCUUUGAAUUUAGUAGAAUGUUAUUAGUUUUCUUUUCGACAAUCUCUGAGCCUUCAUCGUCAAAUGAUACUUUAAAUCCAGUGCCAACCACUAGCUAUGAUACAAUGAUGAGAUUGUGUUGGAGUCCUUCAACAUAAGCCACUUUUCUUAUAGAGAACUUGCCAUUAGUGAUGAUUCCAUAGCCUUUGAUAGUACCAAAUGAGUUGUUGCCGUACUUCAUAAUUCCACCAUCCUUGAGUGACCGAAACUCCCUCAGUUCUUCCUUCCUUCCUGUCAUGUGACGCGAGCAGCCACUAUCAAUGUACCAUUCUUCGUCAAAUUGCUCGUCACGAAUAACCUGCAAAAUAUUAAGCAGAUUUAGGAACCCAAAGUUUCUUGGGUCCUUGUGAGCCUUUUACAGGAUAGGGAAUAGUAAUAGAAAUAUCAACCAUGUAUGUGCGUUUAACUAAAGUUGUUUCAUCUUUUCUUUUUAUGGUGAAAACUUUAAUUUUGGUUGAUUUAGUAGGAUUGGAAUUUGUGGUGUUGAUGUCAACAUUCUUUUGAAUCUCUUUUGGAAGAUUGUUAUCUUCAGGAAAGAGUUUUCCUUUUCCCUUUGAAUCCAUUGAAGGAUGAGAAUUUGAGUGGGAAGUGUUGGAUUCAGAAGUGACUUUGGAUCCCCUGUGUUUCUGAUUGGACUUGUAUGGAAUGGGACCGAAACUGCUCUUUCGGUUGCAGUUGGAUGAAGAGCUGAGACCGUUCUUUCGGUUGAUAUUACUUCGAGGACCAAAACUAUCUUGUUGGUUCCUUUCGGUCGAGGGAUCGAACCUCUCCUUUCGGUUCCUUUCAAUAGAUGGACCGAAACCUUCCUUUCGGUUCCUUUCAGUAGAUGGACCGAAACCUUCCUUUCGGUUCCUUUUAGUAGAUGGAACGAAACCUUCCUUUCGGUUCCUUUCGGUAGAUGGACCGAAACCUUCCUUUCGGUUGGUGUAGUACUGAGGACCGAAACUACUCUUUCGGUUCUUUCCCGUCGUGGGACCAAAACUCCCCUUUCGGUUCCUUGAUUCCUCUUGCGAUUUGUGCUUGCUUUCUAUCCUUAUAAAGUGAGGAUUUUGAGAUUUCCAAAAUUGUUUUCUUUCUGAGAGAUUCUUCUUGUAUCUCAGAUUUCUUUGAUGCUUUCGAUCAGCCACCUGUUUUGGAUUUUUAUGAAUGUUGGCCUUUCUUUUCGAAGUAUGAGCACAACAUUCACUUUUUUCUGAGGAUGUUUCACUAGUGGUUUGCACAGGUUCAUGUAUAUAUCUAUCAUAUUUUGCAGGCUCAUUUAGUGGUUCGUGUAUAUAUCUACCUUUCACUCUCCAUGAGGUUUUUUGAGAUAGGCCCUUAGUAUCGUCAGCGUUGUCUAUUGGGGCCGACCAGAAAAACUCGUCACAUCCGCCAGCAUUGUCUUCUUCUACCAUAGCUGUCAAUUCUGCAGUUUGUUGUGGAGUGACACCCAGUACUGUGUAGACUUGAUUUGGAGUGGUUUGUGCCUUUUGGUACACAACAACUUUAGCUUUGAGAACUUUGGUUUUGUCAGUAGACGAGCGAGCAAACUCAACAGAGGUUUCAGAAAUCAGGUUUUUGCGUGACUUAGAUUCACUUUUGACAAAUUCUGAACAGUCGACCAUAUCCUCUACAGAGAUUUCACUCAGAUCAUGAUCCUCAUUAAGUUCAGAUACAUUUUCAACAUCAAUUUUAUUUUUUGAACUUAAUUUGGCAUUCAAAGAGUCAAAUUUCUGUACGGUUUCGGUUCUUAAUUUCAAUAUAUCAUUUUCGUCUAACUGAUUUUUGAGCAUGUCCUUGUGGUCUUUGGACUUUAUGUAGGAUUCAAUUUUGUCCAGACCUAUUUUAUAUGAUGGAGAAACUUCGUCAAAAGAUACAACGCUUUCACAGUUGUAGGCUUCAACAUCGAUUUCAUCCUCCUUUAAUUCAAGGAAGGGAAAAAUCAUGCGAAGUAUCUUCUUUCCUAUUUCACAAUCAAGAUGCAAUUGAGUGAUGUUAAAAUAGAGCCUUUUAGCAAUUAAACAAAACAUAUUUCGCUGUUUAAGAAGUUUAAGAUUGUCUCUUUGCAAAUAAAUUGAAUCAUCCUUAGACCUAAUAAACUCCUUUUCCUUUUGCUCGAUCCACAUCCUCCGUUCCUCACUCUUUAAUGAAAUCCUGCUGAUUUGAUCAGUUUGGUUAGAAUUUGUGACACGGGUUUGGGUGAGAUUGCUACUUAUGCUCGAGAAUUUUGAUUUUAAGUUAUUUAAUUCCUUUUCAUAGUCAGUAAUAGGUAUUUUUAAAGAAACAAGAAUAUUUUGUACCUUUUUGAUCAACUCAUCACAUUUGUUGAUCUGUGCACUGACAGGUUUGGCAGCAAAACACCUGUCCUCUCGCUCCUUCUCGUCUUCUACUCCCCCGUCGGUUGUGUAUCCUCUCAUUUGAGACACACCUUUGGUUACUACAAAGCACCUUCCUGUUACAUGUUCUUCUUUUGCCAGCAUAGCCUUCCCAUGAGUUGGCUUCCAGACUUCAUCAUCCUUAGAAUCUGUGGACCAAACUUCCACACCACCAAGUUCAUCACAGUUGUUUGUAUCCUGCACAAUUAAAGCAUUCAUGGUAGUAUUGUUGGCAGCAGACUUUCUUUUCUUGAUUUCUUCCAGUCUUCUCAGGAGGCUCGCUUCCUCAUCUUCUUCAUUUUUCUUUUCUUCUUUCUUUCUCAGCAUACAAUCUUUUGCAAGAUGAUUCUUGCCUCCACAGUAAUGGCAGUCAAAUCCUGAGUCUCCUCCAACUUUCGCUUCUUUCUUUGACUCUUCAUACUUUGACCCCAUCUUCGGUUCCUCCUUGAUCUUUUCGGCGCUAUAACUACCCUCCCAGUUUCGGUUCUUGUUGGAUGGGAAUUUCUUCUUAAUGAAUUUUCUGGAAUUGGACACCAUCAUGGCAUAUUCUUCACCAGUUAGAUCAUAAUUGGCAGGAUCCAAUUCCUCUUCUUCUUCAACCGAGCUUUUUCCUUUAGAGAAAAGAGCUAAAGAACCCAGACUGGAAACCACAUUCGUUUCCUUAGACAGUGCACUCUCAUGGGAUUUCAAAAUACCCACUAGUUUUGCCAGAGAAUAUGACUUGAACUGUUCAUGAGCUUUAACUGUUGAUACAACAGCCAUCCAUUCGGGUCUGAGACCAUUCAUGAAAGUAAUUUUUUGUUCGAAAACAUUCCUUUUAAUCCCAUGCUUUAUCAUCUUACUUAAAAGAUGAUUGAAGCGAUCAAAGGUUUGAACAAGUUUCUCUUCAGACUUCUGCUUAAAGUCUCCAAAUUCAGAUAGCAAGAGAGUUUGAAAUGAAUUUUCCAAAUCUUCAUCAGUGGAAUACAAUUCUUUUAAUCUGUCCCACAUCUCUUUAGCCGUGGCACAAGAACUUACCAAACGAAACGUAUCUGACUGUCGCGCAAACCUUAUCAUUGUAACAUCCGGAUUUCCAGGUAUAAUAUUUUAUUCCUUUAUUUUUGGAAGUUGUGAGGGGACUCGGUGAGUUGGUGUUUAAACUCGCCGAGUAUGGUCGCAGAUUCGUAUCCGGGUUCACAGCCGGAUGCGGCGAGUUCAUGAGUGGACUCGACGAGUCCAUGCUGUUUAAUGAAGCCCUAAUUUCCUGGGUUUGGGACCUAUUUAAAGGCCCUUAGGGCUGUCAUUUGCGGCUACCAAACCCCAGAGAGAAACCCUAAGAGAUCUAGAGUGUUUGUGAGGAAGGAGAGUCCCUUUGUGAUCAUUUUGUUGGUGUAAUUGCAAGAAGGAGGAAACCAAGGCAAGAGGAUGCUGAAUGGGAUGUGAUUCUGGUGAUUUCAGAGCUCAUAGACUUAAUCUUGAGGUAUUUUUCGGACCUUCUUCAGUUGUGGUGUUUAUUUCCUAGAGUUAGGGUUUUCUAACCCCCUUUAGAGGAUGGACCGUGGAGCAAUUGGUCCCUUCUCGAGUUCAUGCUUUGGAUCUGGACUCAAAGAGGUCCAGAGACCUUAACCCUUGGGGCUUUUUGGAGUUAUUUUGGGAGUCAUGAACAUAGGAUGUUAUUUUGGGACUAAAUCACCAAGUAAGACCAUCUAGAUGCUAUUUGAGUGUCAAGGGCUGAACAUUACAUGAUUAUCAUGCUUGGGAAGGUCAGAUCUAUGGGUUAGAGGAACAGAUAUGACCUCAGGAGGUCUGUGGAGUUUGUGCAUGGCAUGAACUCGCCGAGUCCAGAGAUCAGACUCGGCGAGUAGGGUUAGGGUUUCCAGUAAAACACUCAGAGUGUAGACUUGCCGAGUUGGGAAAUAUCUCAGUGAGUCAGGGAGAGUUAGGGGACUGAAGUUCAAGGCGGAACUUGCCGAGUUGUUCUUGAGACUCGGCGAGUUGAGUCGGGGUGGCCCCGCGAUUCAUGCCAAGUGUCACUCGUCGAGUAAGGGGAAGGACUCGACGUGCCAAGAGGGACUAAGAGAAUUAGUAGACACGUGUAGACUAGUCGAGUCGCCCAAGUGCACUCGACGAGUCGGGUCAAAGUUUGACCGUUGACUUUUGUUGACUUUCAGGGUUUGGUCAACAGUGAGGCCAUUAAGCCAAGAGAGGGGUAAAAUGGUCGUUUACCCUUCUGAGGGUGUUAAGAAAGGUUUGAGUAUAGUUAUAUUUAUGAGAUUAUUUACUUUAUGUGAUUAGGCGGAGGCUAGAUCAUAUUUCUACCGAGUCAGAGACUUACCGAGACACCUGAGGUGAGUCAUCUAACUAUACGUUACCUAGAGUGGUAUUAUGUGUUACGUAUGAGAUUAUGUGCUAUGUGUUAUAUGUAUGUUGUAUGAUGUUAUAGACCGGACCGGAGGGUCCAACGAGCUAUGACCGGACCACAGGGUCCUACGAGCUACGGGACUGGAGGGUCCCGCUGAGACACAUCGACCAGAGGGUCGUAUUAUAGCCUCGAGUGGCGUAUGUUUUGUAUGCGGUAUGUUGGGGAACUCACUAAGCAUUUAUGCUUACAGUUGUUGUGUUAUGUGUUUCAGGUACUAGCGAGGACCGUGGGAAGACGCCGACGUGACUCGUACACACUAAAGAGAGAGUUUGAUUUUUAUGAUCUUGGGAUAUGUUAUGUUUCAAAAACUACUGUUGGAAAUAUUUGAGAAUAUUUUUAUAUGAACUUGGUUGAUGAAAAAUUGAAAAACUUGUUUUAAAAUUUACGUUGUUACAAGUUGGUAUCAGAGCCUUGGUUUGAGGGAUUCGGAUGCCUCUUCGGGCGUAUCUGAGCUCAAACUGAGGAUUUGAGGAAAAUUUUUGAUAAUGAAGUAAAUUUUUUGAAAAGAGUAAAAAGAGUUUUGAGACAAACAGAGCAGAGCCAUGUGUACGAUCAGCCAGCCCCCGAACGGUGAAUCCCCAAAAGUACCCUUACAUUAUGUGUUAUGAGAUAUUCUAUGUUACAUUAUGCAUGCUAGAGCAGGCUAGGUAUUCAUAUUAGGACUAGAGUGGCCUGAUUUGUGAUCCCUUAGCCUAGGAGAUUUCUGCUGUUGAGUUGCUUUGAGAGGGAGUAGAUAGCAGUUAGGAGCUUAUGAGAGGUCUAUCGGAGGGUAGCCAAUGCAUAAUGAGAGUAGAGUACUUGUAAUCCAGGAUCCAAGGAGGAGGACUUGGAGUGAAUGCUGAUGCGGUGUGGUCAGUAGUAUAGGGCCCGUACUACUGAAGACACCGGAUCAGUGGGCAUUCCAUGUAAGAAUCUUUUGGACAAUGGAGGACAAGUAGGGUUGCGUCAUCGAGUAUGAGUAUGCUCGAAUGAGUCUCUGAUAUUUAUUGUUGUAUUUCAGAAGCAUCAUGGUUGGGACUCGACGCACACCUCAGAGCAGUGGUGUCAGCGACGACGAGAUCCGUCGAUUGAUUCAUGAGGAGGUGGCUGCUGCCAUCCGGGUUGAGAUUCCUGAGAUGUUUGGGGACAUCAAGACCACAUUGAUUGAGACCUUUGAUGAGCGGUAUGAAACACUGACUGAGGCUGCGGCAGGUGCAGCUACGGCUGCUGUUGCUGCUGCCAGACCUCAGGGAGGUGACUCGUUGUUGUUUUGGGAGUUCAGCAACACGAAGCCACCAGAGUUUGAUGGGACAUAGGACCCGAUUGCUGCGAUGAGAUGGAUCUCUGACAUCGAGGGAUGUUUGUAUACGUGUUCUUGUCCAGAGCACUUGAGGGUACGGUUCGCUCUGAACCAGCUCCGCUUGGGAGCGAAGGAUUGGUGGAAGUUCGUGACGGCGAACUUCACUUUGGCAAAGAUUUAUGAGGUGACCUGUGAGAGGUUCACCACUAUGUUCAGAGACGAGUAUGUUCCCCCGGUGGAUAGGGAACGUUUGAUUUAGGAGUUCUUGACCCUCAAACAGGGUACUGAUUCUGUGGCAGUGAUCACCAGGAAGUUUCAUGAGAGGGCGAUGUUUUGCCCUGAGCAGGCUCGUAUGAGCCGUUAUCUGAGUGUUCUGAGGAGAGAUAUUCAGGAUUUCAUGGAGAACUCGAGUUACUGGACAUUUGCUGAGCUCCAUGCAAAUGCCCGGAAGAGGGAGAUUGAGUCGGAGACUCAGGCCAGGGAGGAUGCCGAGUCACAGAGGGCGGGUCGGCGACCUGCUCAGGCUAUAAGGGGUGUUUAAGGAAAUUGCCUAUAAAAUGGCGAUUGAAUGGGUAUCCACUCUUACCCACCGCACUCUUGACUAGUGGAGGGUCGUUAGCCGAACGGGUAGGAUAGGACGAAACCUUCCAUUAUAAGUAUAAUGAAGUAUAAAAGUAACUAAAUGUUUUCAUAAAAUUCCCAAUCUUAGUUACUUAGGCAAAAGUGAAUUGAUGCAAUUCCAUGAAAUUACACUUUGUGCCCUUGCGAAGACGUUAGUGGAGCGUGUGUGGUUUACCGGCACACUAAAUGGUUCUAAGCAAAGGUAGCAAAGGGUGACUCAAUGUUUGUCAUAGUUCGGUGGAGCGUGUGUGGUUUACCGGCACAUCGAAUAGGUGACUGUAACAUGUGAGGGCACCAUGUAAGUUUGCAUGGUUAUUCACACCCGCUUUGUGAUCCUCGGCAUCCCAGUCACAAACAAGAGGGGCAUAUCGAGAUUUAAACAUGCCAUUGAAAGUUCAAUGAAUCUCAAAGGAUCUAGGAGUUUUCAUAGAUUUAAAACUUAAAUUUCUUUUUCGUUUUUCAUGGUGGAAAUUAGUGAAUCGUCAUUCACUUACCUUCAAAUGUUCUGCAAUUUGGGUUACGGCAUCCCUCUCCCGAGUUGUAGAAUAUUGUGUUGGGUCCUAGCCUUAGUAUCUCAUUUGGGUGAUUUACUAAGGACUCAAUCAAUCAACUAACUUGAAUUCGUUUUCUCCCGUUUUGUAGAUGUCAAAGUUCGACAACUAUGGUCUUCCCAAAUCCCGUGGAACAAGCAUUCCACAUGAAGAUGAUAUUCCACGAUUCGAUCGAGGAACAAGAAAUCAUGCUUCACUUCCUCCACCUCCUCCAAUUAUUCUCCCUAACCCACAAGUUCAAAGGCUUGAAAAGUUCAAGAUCACUCAAGCCCUUUUGGCAAGUAAACAUAAAGAAGGAAAGUCGGUGUGUGCACACGUCCUAGGGAUGAAGUCACACAUUGAUAGGUUAAGAAUGUUGGGAUCCGUUGUCUGUGAGGAAAUGGCUGUUGAUUGGGUUCUUCAGUCACUUCCUAACUCAUAUAGUGAGUUCGUAAGAGAGUACUAUAUGAUGAACUACGACGUGACCCUUAUAGAUCUCACCUAUAUGCUUAUUGCUGCUGAAUCAGCAAUGGUUUGGCGCAAUAGAAAAGCAAAGUUGAUUGGUGAAUCUGCCUUCAAGACCUCUAUGGAUAUAGACAAUGGCAACGAAAGACAUGCUAUGAUCGAAAAGUUUGAUCAUAAGAGAAAGGCAAUGUCUGAAGUAGUUCCAUGUCAUGUUCCAAAAGAGUCAAUUUGCUUUUAUUGCCAAGAGAAAGGGCAUUGGAGACGAAGCUGCCCCAUUUACCUAAGAGAUCUAAGAGAUGGGAGAGUCGAAACGUAUGGCUCUAAUAUAGGUAAAAUCCAUUAACUAACUCUUUUAAGCUUCUAUUCUAGAUUCUUAAUACAUAAUGUGAUAAGAUUACAAUUGAUGUUUUGUAGGAUCGAAGAAAAGAAAGGAAGCUUAAGGGAAGAAGUGAGCAGAAUCUAACCGUGAAGGAAUGGAUUUCGAUCGCAUUUCUCGAAGAUUAGAUUCUUGAGCUACUACUUAGAGUUAGAAUUAGAUUGCUAAGAAAGAUGUAUUAGCAUAAGUUUUUCAAUGAGUUGCAUUGUAAGGACAAAUUUUUCCGCAAUAAAAUAAAUUUUGAUUUUAAAUUUUAUUUAUUUAUCCUUACAAUGGCGUGUAUGAAAAAUUGAUGUUAAAAUGUUUCUAUUAUUAGCAAUAAUGGAUUUGGUUCUUAUUAUGUUAUUUAUGGAAAGUCGAGAAUUUACCAAAUAGGGAGAGUUUCUCAUCGCCCAAGUUUCAAUUGGACAGAAACUUGGAAUCAUGCAACUUGGUUGCACGAUGAAUGAGAAAUUUCAUAUUUGGAAAUUAGACUAAUUCAUUGACAAAGUGUCAAGUGAAGGACUAGGAGAUCGAGUACACAAAGUUGCGUGUUGAUCAAGUCCACCAUAAGAGUAACAAAGAUAUUCGUCAUGAUUUACUAAAGGUUUAGUAAAUAUGAUUAUACUUAUAAGAUUAAGUGUAAUUCUGAAUUGAUUGAAAAGGUUUAAAUCAAUAGCAGAACGAAUAAGAAGAAUCAAGUAGGCAGAAAGAUAAAAGUUUCUCCAUUCUAAGAAGAAGGGAGAGUACCUUUUAUGCUUUAUGAUAGGUCUUAAUGAUUAAGAACCAUAUCUCAAUUGAUCCUCUAAGUGAGUCUUAGUACAAUUGUAUGUCUAAGAAGAGGAAUCAAGAAUUGAAGAAAUGGUUAAAUCAAUAAGUCAAUCAUACUUCGUUCCAAUAACAAGUCUUAAAGUUAAGAUUGUGACAUUGAGUGAAAGGUAUUAAGAAGGUUUGUAACUUUCAUUAAAUGUGGAAAGUUGUGAUGUCUUGGAUAAGACAAAGACCAACUAGGACCAAUUUAUGAAGUGUUUUGAUAAAAGCUACACUAACUCUUGAAUAUUUGUUUGUCAAGAAAUGUUUUUUGACAAGAGAAUCUUAUAUGUCAAGGAGUCAGUGGGAGUCUUAAUGGUCUUGAAAGGUUUCAAGAACAAAUCAAAUAAACCUUAUCGAUCAUCACUAGCACACGAGUUGAGGUUUACAACCUAUCGUGUUGACAUUAUUUUGAUUCUGUGCCAAUCCAAUCGAGUUAAUUAUGCAUGUGAGUUCUAUGAGUUCUCAUUUUGAACGCAUAAAAGGCAAAGCACCUUAAUCAAUGAAAGGUACAUUGAUAGGAAAGGGUGAGCUGCUUAACUACUUGGAAGACAUGGUGGGCAGCUGUGCUACCAUAAAGGCAAGAAAUCGAGAUCAAGAAAGUUCGAUCCAUAAGAGUUUGAAUUUGUCGUAAACUUUGGUUUUGACAAAUUCACAUGGAUAGGAACAAAUACACCGUUUAAAUCUAAGUGUCAUAAGAUUUCCUCCUUCAUGAAAAUGAUUGUGAGGAAAUGCUUUCACUAAGACAGAUUUUAAGAAGAUAGUGAUUGUAAAAUUGCAUUCUCGAAUUCAAUUAUGGUUACGGCAUCCCUUUCCAUAAUUUGAAUUGUGAGGUUUGGCAAUUAGUCUUAAUUGUUUAGACACACAUAUGAACUAUCGAAGGCAAAUGUGUAUAAGUUCAAGAAACCUUGAUAAAAGAUUAUCAAAGCACUAAGUAUUAGAAACAUGAACUUAAGAAAUUCAAUAAGCAUUUUUUUUCUGAAAGUUAAGAUGUUUAUGAAUACAUGUCGAAGCUAGUGGGAGCAUAAGUGUUAUGUUUUAUAAUAAUCAUCAAGAUAGUGGGAGCAUAAAAGUUAUGAUUGUAUGAUUAUUAAGGAAAGUAUUGCAAGGUUAGCAAUAUUAAUUAUAGAAAACAAGAGUCAUACUUUGCAAAGUCGCAAUAGUUGAAGAGUUGUUUUGCUAUAAUUAAGGGAGAGAAUAUUAUGCUUCAUUUCAAAUCUAAAGGUUUAGGUUGAGAAAUGUUAAUAAAAUUUAGUCAAAGGUACAAAGUGUGUUCUUAAAAUUUCGAUUAUGAUUACGGCAUCCCUCUUCACAAUUCGAAUUUUGAGAACAUAGCAAAUAAAACAUUAUGCGUCGUGUCCCAUACGCUUCGGGUAUAGGAUCGAUUGCAAAUGCUUUAAUGUUUGACCAUUCUAAAAUUUUCCAAAUGUCGAGCGCAUUUAGAGGGAAAAGGGACUAGAAUUGGUUUUGACUAAAAUAAUUAAACAACUAUCAAAGGACAAUCCAAAGUUCGACGAGGAUUGGUCGCUUGUGAGUAGUUGGAAGUAUAGUAUUGGAAAAUAUGGAAAUGUUUCCAUAUUGGAUGGACCAUAUCGACAUCAUUACGAAUAGAUAAGAUUCUAUUAAGAAUGAGUUGUCAUAUGGAACAUAUGGAAGUGUGUCCAUAUUGGGAAUUGAAUAUUGAGAAAUCUAUGACUAGAUUAGAAACUUCUAUGCAAAAGGAUGUUCAAAGAAUGUACUUUGAGUGAGAGACAUCACAUCUAUGGAAUUGUCUUGUAACAAUCUCCGAUAGAGGACUUUGUAAUAUCAUUGGCAAUAGUCUUUGUGACUUUGGUGCAGUGACAUUACGAAAGGAUAAGUUGCAUAGAAUGUUAGAAUCUAGCAUAUUCUAUAAGUAGCAAGAAUUUGAUAUUCUUUCACUUAUGAAAAAGGAUUUGGAGUUGUGAAAUGAGAAUGAUUGGAAAUGUGUUCAAUGUGAUCUAUUUCACAAAGUAAGAACCAUAGGUAAACAUUGUGUGCAUGCUAGGAGCAUGGGACAAGUGUUGUAAUUCAAGUAAGAAGUUGAUUACCCGAAACGACAAAUAAUGAGUAAUCAAUAUGGUGAUAAAUAAAAGGUGUUUUAUUUAUACUCAAAGGUUUGAGGCCAUAUGGGAUUAGUAUUAUUCUUGUGUUUCACAUUUGCAUGUUUUGACUUCCAGAAUAAUUGAGUUUAUUAAGAAUAAUCGAAUUAUUCGAACGGGCCACAGUCGUUCAUAUGUUGGAAGUAGAUAUGAAUGAAGACUGUCGUGAAUUGGUGUGUGGAUUGUCUAAAAGAGUAUUAGACAUAAGCAAAUGUUUGCUGCAACGUUCAUGAGUGCUUAUGAAUAUGAUUUGAGCAUUGGAUUAAACCCACGCUCACUUGGAUCACUCCAUGAAUUGUAUCACGAGUGAUUGGUGAGACGAUAACAUCUUAUAUUCUUGAAACCGAGAUGUGUGAGUUGUAUCUUGCAAAUCGGUUGCACAUUGAUAAUAUGUAAACGCACUAGUAACUUGGUGUUAUAAAACAUAUUGUUGUGUGUAAUUCGGUGAGUGAGUGCAAGCAAGCAUUGUAUCAAAGUUUAUCCGUUCCUUUUAUCCAAAGUAGGAUAAAAGCGAUAUCUUUGGGCCCCUCGAUGAUUUUGUGAUGACAAACGUAAAUGCUCGGCCGGGCUAGGGCUAAUUUGAUUUGUUCAAUUAGUCAGUCGUCAUAAAUCGGGAAUCGAGAUAUAGUACAAAGAGAAUGAUUUGAAAUCAUAUCUCAUAUGAUAUCUAGAAUGGAGGAAUAUAUGAUCCCUUAUCUAAGGACACGCGUAUCUGAUAGGAUCAGAGUUGACAGCGGCUUUGGAAAGCUACGAUUGCAGAUCAGGAUCUGAAGUCAUACGCAAAAUAGUUAUUAGACUUAUCCAAGUGGGAGACUGUUGGAUUAGUGUCUAAGUCCAUAACUAUUUUGGUAUGUACUUGACCCGAUGGUGCAUGGUCCUUUUGGGUUGCCUUCACCAAAGCAACUUGAUUGGAGAAAUAAAUAGAGAGAGAGAGAGGUUAUUAUGAUUUAUUAAUAUGUUAUAAGAAUAAUAUAUUAAAGGAGAAAUCAUAUUUGUUUAAUUAAUAUUGGUCAAUAAUUAAUUAAGAAUUAAUUUUGUGAUCAAAUGUAAUUAAUUAAACUAGAGGGGCUGAAUUGUAAUUAUGUGAUAGUUACAAAAUAAGGUAAGGAUUAUCUUAAGGAUAGGUUGGACGAAUUUGAGGUGAUAAGGACCUUAGAAUUCGACUAUGAUAAGGAUUCAAGGCUUAUCUUAUGGGUUGCUUGGUAAGCAAGCAACUAGAUAAGGAUAAGGACUGAAACCCUAUCUCUAAACCUAUAUGAACCCCCUUUGGCUCUUGAUUUCGUCCAGACCUUCCCAAGGCUUCUUAAGGACGAAUUCUUAUACCUCUUCUCUCUCUUUAUACCUUCUCCAUUUGCUCUUGGUGUUUGUAAGCCAUUAGAGGAGUGACACUUGUGACUCUAAGCCUUCCAAAGUCAAUACAAGGAGAUUUGGGAUUGUUAUUGCUACAUAACAAUCAAGGUAAUAUCUUAUACCUAAUUAUAUGUUAAUAUCGAUUCCCAUAUGCUAGAAUUAGGGUUUAUAGCCUUGGAUAACUUGCAUGUACAAUAGAGAAACCUAGAUCUAAGCGUUAGGGUUUGUAUGAGCACAUAGGAUGUCUUAUGACCAAAACCCAUCAGUAUGAGCCGUUAUCUGAGUGUUCUGAGGAGAGAUAUUCGGGAGUUCGUGGCGAACUCGAGUUACUGGACAUUUGCUGAGCUCCAUGCAAAUGCCCGGAAGAGGGAGAUUGAGUCGGAGACUCAGGCCAGGGAGGAGGCCGAGUCACAGAGGGCGGAUCGGUGACCGGCUCAGUCUCAGCCGACAACCAAGCGGGCUAGACCCACUGAAUCGAGAUCUGGAGGCGCGAAGGGCCGCACUUGUGGGAAGUGCGGCAAGAGCCAUGAGAGGUCGUGCAGGGCUGGAGUAUGCUACAAGUGCGGGAAGGAGAGGCAUAUCGCGAGGGAUUGUCCCAAGGGAUUUUCGGUUUGCUUUCAUUGCAACUAGACCGGCCAUUGGAAGGCCGAGUGCCCGCAGCUACUUUAAGGAUCAGCGCAUGGAUCUGUGCCUGCUGCUAGGGCUACCGAGGUUCAGCCGAUGAAGGCCGAGGCAUCGAAGGCUCGUGGGAGAGCAUUCCAGUUGACUGCGGAGGAGGUCCGCGUGGCUCCCGAUGUUGUGGCUGGUAUGUAUUCUAUAUUCAUCUUUUUUUUUGAGUUGAGUUAUUAUGCUUAUAUGAUGAUGUGCGUAGGUACUUUUCUUGUGAGUUCUAUGCCUGCUUUGGUAUUAUUUGACUCGGGUGCGAGUCGGUCGUUUGUUUCUGUAGCAUUUAGUCAGCACAUUAGUAUCCGUUGAGAGGCGUUGGAUCGACCUCUGCGAGUUUCCAUAGCUGAUGAGCGAGCAUUGUAUGCUUCAGAUGUGAUUCGAGGAUGUGUCCUUAAGAUCUUCGGUGUGGAGUUUCCGAUAGAUCUGGUUCUGAUUGCGAUGGGGGAUAUGUGUGUUAUAGUGGGUAUGGAUUGGUUGAGCCGAUAUGGAGCUGUGAUAGACUGCGAGCGUCAAUUGGUGACGAUUCGAGACCCUAGUGGGGGAGUACUUACAGUGUUCGGAGAGGGAACCCGAUGUGGGUCAGCGUUUUGUUCGGCCGCCAGGGCGAGGCAGAGUUUGCAGCAAGGCUGCAGUGGAUUCUUAGCCUAUGUGACAGACACACGAGUGGCCGUUAGGAGGACAAGUUCGAUUGAUGAGGUUCCGAUAGUAUGUGAGUUUCUGGAUGUUUUUCCCGAGGAACUACCGGGUGUGCCUCCCAAGAAGCAAGUGGAGUUCCGUAUCGAUUUGGUUCCGGGAGCAGCUCCUAUCACCAAGGCGCCUUAUCGCCUCGUGCCUCCAGAGAUGCAAGAGUUAUCCUCGCAGCUUCAGGAGCUGUUGGGGAAGGGGUUUAUUCGGCCAAGUAGCUCACCUUUGGAAGCACCGAACCUUUUUGUCAAGAAGAAGGUGAUGGGUUUUGGCCAUAUGAACAUCCCUAUGUGCACAUGCAAACCCUAAUGCUUGGAUCUAGGUUUCUCUAAUUAAACAUGCUUUGAAUCCGAGACUUCUAAUGACUAAUUAGGUAUAAGAACAAUACAAAAUCAGAUCUAGAAGUUUACCUUUGAAUCUCUUGUUUUGAUCUUGUUGUCUUGGAGCUCUAGAGUCACAAUUGUCACUCCUCUAAUGGCUUACAAACACCAACUAGCAAGGAGGAUGAUUUGAGAGAGAGGAGAGGGAUUAGAAAUCGGCCAGGGUUUCUUUGCUUUAGCAGAGGUGCCGAUUUCCCUUGCCCUAGGGGUCUAUUUAUACUUGUAAGGCUCCUAGGGUUUCACCCUUAAACCCUAGGUGGAUAAUCUUUCCUUAAAGCAAUCCUAAUCCUUACCUAAGAUAGCCUUGGACGAAUUUGAGGCAAUCCCAAGCCCUAGAAUCCGUCCAUCCUCUAUCCAAGAAGGAUUUACAGCCCAAAGUGUAACUAUCAAACAAUUGACAAUUUAUACCCUCUUAUUUAAUUAAUCUCUUUAAGUCACCAAAUUAAUACUAAUUAAUCUAUGACUUAUAUUAAUCAAAUAACAAUAUUAUUAUUCCUUAUAUUAUUCUCAUAAUAUAUUAAUAAUAUUUAUUCUCUCAUAAUAAAUCAUCCUAUCAAGUUGCUAUGGUGAAGGCAACCCAAAAGGACCAUGCACAAUCGGGUCAAAUACUUGCCUAAUAUAGUUGCAGCCUUAGACACUAUUCCAACAGUUUCCCACUUGGAUAAGUCUAGUAACUAUAUGCACAAGUACAAUUCGAUUUGCAAUCGUAGCUCUCAAAGACGCUGUCAAACUCUGAUCUAAUCAAUCUUGUCCUUUAGAUAAGGGAUCGUACAGUCCUCUGUUAGAUAUCAUGCUGACAAUUCUAUGGAAUGAUUAGUCAAGCAUUUUGGUUUCUCGAUCUCCGAUUUAUUCGACAUAGAACUUAAUCGAACACAUCAAUUCAGUUCUGACCGGGCCCGGCACAUAAGUCAAAUCAAAUCAUCGAGCGGCCGAGAUAUCGCUUUUACCUUCUUAGGUUAAAAGUUACAGAUAAACUUCGACUUAUAUGCAUUUACUUAUUCAUUAAUCAACUAUACACAACAAUGCGUUUUAUAACACCGAGUUACUGAUGCGUUUUCGCAUUAUCAAUGUACAAUCAAUUAACAAAUAACAAACCAUAUAUCUAGGUUUUAAGACUAUAUGAUAUUAUCGUCUUGCGAUCACCCUUUUAUAUCAUAUUCCAUAAGGUGAUUCCAGCAAGCGCGGGUUUGUUCCAAUGCUCAAAACUAGUUCAUAAGCACUCAUGAACGUUGCAGCAACCCUUUGCUAUGUCUAACACCAUUUAGACAAUCUACACACCAAUUCAUGACAAUCUUCAUUCAUAUCUACUUCCAACAUAUGAACGAUUGUGGACAAUUUGAAUAAUUCGAUUAUUCUUAAUAAACUCAAUUAUUCUGGAAGUCAAAACAUGCAAAGUGAAACAAUAGUUAAACAAUUAACAUAAGACAGUAACAUUACUCAUAAAUAAAACUCCUUUAUUUAAUCAUCAAAUGUUAAUUACAUUUAUCUAUUACACGUUUCUAAUACUAUCUAAUCUAUGCUAAUAUCAUCCUUCAGCCCAAUACUCCUAGCAUGCUGCAAGUGCUUAACCCUACUCAGUCCCUUCGUAAGCGGAUCUGCUGGGUUAUCUUCUGAUGAUAUCCUCUUCACUACGAGUUGUCCUUCUUCUACACGAUGUCUAAUGAAGUGAUAUUUUCUGUCGAUAUGUCUUGAUCUACCAUGAUCCCUCGGUUCCUUGGUCAAGGCAACCGCUCCUUCGUUAUCACAGAAAAUCUCCAUGGGCUCCUUUAUGGCAGGUACAACUCCAAGAUCACCGAUGAAGUUCUUUAGCCAUAUUGCCUCCUUCGACGCUUCGCUCGCUGCAAUGUACUCUGAUUCGCACGUUGAAUCAGCUACGGUCUCCUGCUUGGAACUCUUCCAUGUCACUGCUCCUCCAUUUAGGGUAAAGACCCAGCCCGACUGCGAACGGUAGUUGUCCCUGUCGGUCUGAAAACUGGCGUCACUAUACCCUCGCACCUUCAAGUCAUCACUCCCUCCGAGGACUAAGAACCAUUCCUUCGUCCUCCGAAGGUACUUAAGGAUAUUCUUCACCGCAAUCCAAUGUGCUCUGCCAGGAUUCCCUUGAUAUCUGCUAACCAUGCUCAAAGCGAAGGCUACAUCAGGGCGAGUACAAGUCAUAGCGUACAUGAUUGAGCCAACUGCGGAAGCGUAUGGUACUCGGCUCAUUUCUGCUAUCUCAGCUUCGGUACUCGGACUUUGAGUCUUACUCAAUUUGGCAUUACUUUGUAUCGGUAGUUCUCCCUUCUUUGAGUUUUCCAUACUAAAACGUUUUAGUACCUUCUCUAAGUAAGUAUUCUGACUAAGUCCAAUUAGUCUCUUACUUCUUUCUCUUACUAUCCUUAUUCCCAAAAUGUAAGAAGCCUCUCCGAGGUCCUUCAUAGCGAAGCACUUCCCGAGCCAGGACUUAACCUCCUGCAGAGUCGGGAUGUCGUUUCCUAUGAGUAAUAUGUCAUCGACAUAUAGAACGAGGAAGCUUACUAUACUCCCACUGGCUUUGACAUAUACACAAGAUUCGUCUUCGCUUCGUACAAAUCCAAACUCUUUGACUUUCUCAUCGAAGCAAAGAUUCCAUCUGCGAGACGCUUGCUUAAGUCCAUAAAUGGACUUCUCAAGCUUACACACUCUAUUCGGAUGCUUCGGAUCCACAAACCCCUCUGGCUGAGCCAUGUAAACAUCCUCAGCCAACUUUCCGUUAAGGAAAGCGGUCUUGACAUCCAUUUGCCAAAUCUCAUAAUCAUGAAAUGCGGCAAUUGCUAGCAUCACUCUAAUAGAUUUAAUCUUCGCAACUGGUGAGAAGGUCUCAUCAUAGUCAACUCCGGGAGUUUGAGUAAAGCCCUUCGCAACCAAUCGCGCUUUAUAUGUGUGUACGUUUCCAUCCACGUCGGUCUUCUUCUUGAAGAUCCAUUUGCACCCAACGGUCUUACGUCCGGGCACAUAAUCAACCAAAUUCCAAACUUGGUUAUCAUACAUGGAUUGGAUCUCGCUAUCCAUUGCCUCUUUCCAUUUUGCAGACUCCGGGCCUGCCAUGGCUUCCUUAUAGCUAUUAGGUUCAUCAAGAUUUAUUAGUGUACCAUCACUAAUAUACGUGUCCCCUUCGGUAGUAAUAUGAAAACCAUAAAACUGGGGUUGAACUCUAACUCUAUCGGAACGUCUAAGAGGUAAGGAUUCGUCAAUCGGUUCAACCGGAGUUUCCUCCUCGGGUUGAGUGCCAGCGGUAGAGGUUCCUUCAUCUAUCGACUCUUGAAUCUCUUCAAGCUCGAUUUGCCUCCCACUGUCUCCUUGGCUUAUGAGUUCUCGCUCUCGGAAAACUCCUCUCCUCGCAACGAAGACAACAUUGUCCUUCGGUCUAUAGAAGAGAUAUCCAAAGGAUGUCUGCGGGUAGCCGAUGAAAAUACAUCGCUCACUUCGAGGUUCAAGCUUGUCGUGAGUAUCUCGUCUUACGAAAGCCUCGCAACCCCAAACCUUGAUAUGUGCCAACGAGGGAGCUUUCCCUGUCCACAUCUCGUGAGGUGUUUUGGCAACCUUCUUAGUAGGGACUCGGUUAAGGAUAUGGGCGGCAGUCUCUAAGGCAUACCCCCAAAAAGAGAUAGGUAGUGAAGCACGACUCAUCAUAGAGCGAACCAUAUCCAAUAAGGUUCGAUUACGCCUUUCUGCCACACCAUUCAACUGCGGUGUCCUAGGAGGCGUCAAUUGUGAAACUAUUCCACACUCCUUGAGAUAAUCGUGGAAUUCAAGACAUAGGUACUCUCCUCCUCGAUCGGAUCGAAGCAUCUUGAUUUUCUUGCCAGAUUGAUUCUCCACUUCAUUCUUGAACUCUUUGAACAUUUCAAAAGUUUCUGACUUUUGCUUGAUAAAAUAGAUAUACCCAUAUCUACUAUAAUCAUCGGUAAAAGUCAUGUAGAAGCGGUUCCCAUCCUUCGUGGUUGAUCUAAACUCCACAUACANUCGGUAUGUAUAAGGUCCAAUAGACCCUCACCCCUUUCACAUGUACUUGUGAAGGGUGACUUGGUCAUCUUUCCAAGUAAACAAGAUUCGCAUGUGUCAUCUUCCCUAAGGUCGAAUGACUCCAACACUCCAUCCUUUUGGAGUUGGGCUAUGCGUUUCUUGUUGACAUGUCCAAGACGACAAUGCCACAAGGAUGCUCUAUCCAUACUAUUGGAAGAAUCUAUGUUCAAAACAUCAUUUCCUAAGUUAUCAACAAUCAUAACAGUUUCAUAAAUUCCAUUGCGUGGUAUAGCUUCAAAAUAAAAGACACCAUUUAGAUAAGCCAAGAUAGAACCAUUCUCAUUAUUAAAAGAAAAUCUAAAACCUUGUCUAAACAAACCAUGAAAUGAAAUGAUGUUUCUAGCCAUUUCUAGCGAAUAUCAACAAUUGUUCAAAUCUAAACUUAAAUCAUUCCUAAUGUCACACCCCGAAAACCGAAGGCGGAAACAUUUCCGGGGUUGACUCCACGUUGAGUAUCAAAUCCAAUGUACAUAGUAAGUAAAGUAGAACAACCAUUACAUUACAUAGUAAGUAAAGUAGAACAACCACGUUGAGUAUCAAAUCCACGUUGGGUCUGAUCGAGGAAAACCCUAAAUCCGGGACUUGGAGCCUNNNNNNNNNNNNNNNNNNNNNNNNNNNNNNNNNNNNNNNNNNNNNNNNNNNNNNNNNNNNNNNNNNNNNNNNNNNNNNNNNNNNNNNNNNNNNNNNNNNNNNNNNNNNNNNNNNNNNNNNNNNNNNNNNNNNNNNNNNNNNNNNNNNNNNNNNNNNNNNNNNNNNNNNNNNNNNNNNNNNNNNNNNNNNNNNNNNNNNNNNNNNNNNNNNNNNNNNNNNNNNNNNNNNNNNNNNNNNNNNNNNNNNNNNNNNNNNNNNNNNNNNNNNNNNNNNNNNNNNNNNNNNNNNNNNNNNNNNNNNNNNNNNNNNNNNNNNNNNNNNNNNNNNNNNNNNNNNNNNNNNNNNNNNNNNNNNNNNNNNNNNNNNNNNNNNNNNNNNNNNNNNNNNNNNNNNNNNNNNNNNNNNNNNNNNNNNNNNNNNNNNNNNNNNNNNNNNNNNNNNNNNNNNNNNNNNNNNNNNNNNNNNNNNNNNNNNNNNNNNNNNNNNNNNNNNNNNNNNNNNNNNNNNNNNNNNNNNNNNNNNNNNNNNNNNNNNNNNNNNNNNNNNNNNNNNNNNNNNNNNNNNNNNNNNNNNNNNNNNNNNNNNNNNNNNNNNNNNNNNNNNNNNNNNNNNNNNNNNNNNNNNNNNNNNNNNNNNNNNNNNNNNNNNNNNNNNNNNNNNNNNNNNNNNNNNNNNNNNNNNNNNNNNNNNNNNNNNNNNNNNNNNNNNNNNNNNNNNNNNNNNNNNNNNNNNNNNNNNNNNNNNNNNNNNNNNNNNNNNNNNNNNNNNNNNNNNNNNNNNNNNNNNNNNNNNNNNNNNNNNNNNNNNNNNNNNNNNNNNNNNNNNNNNNNNNNNNNNNNNNNNNNNNNNNNNNNNNNNNNNNNNNNNNNNNNNNNNNNNNNNNNNNNNNNNNNNNNNNNNNNNNNNNNNNNNNNNNNNNNNNNNNNNNNNNNNNNNNNNNNNNNNNNNNNNNNNNNNNNNNNNNNNNNNNNNNNNNNNNNNNNNNNNNNNNNNNNNNNNNAGUCUUACCAAUUACAGUUAUGGACUUAGACAUUAAUCCAACAUAAGCCAUGUAAACAUCCUCAGCCAACUUACCGUUAAGGAAAGCAGUCUUGACAUCCAUUUGCCAAAUCUCAUAAUCAUGAAAUGCGGCAAUAGCUAGCAUCACUCUAAUAGACUUUAUCUUCACAACUGGUGAGAAGGUCUCAUCAUAGUCAACUCCGGGAGUUUGAGUAAAGCCCUUCGCAACCAAUCGCGCCUUAUAUGUGUAAAGCCCAUCCACAUCGGUCUUCUUCUUGAAGAUCCAUUUGCACCCAACGGUCUUACGUCCGGGCACAUUAUCAACCAAAUUCCAACUUGGUUGUCAUACAUGGAUUGGAUCUCGCUGUCCGUUGCCUCUUUCCAUUUAGCGGACUCCGGGCCUGCCAUGGCUUCCUUGUAGCUGCUAGGUUCCUCCAAAUUNUACACGUGUCCCCUUCGGUAGUAAUAUGAAAACCAUAAAACUGGGGUUUCUAACUCUCUCGGAACGUCUAAGAGGUAAGGAUUGGUCAAUAGGUUCAACCGGAGUUUCCUCCUCGGGUUAAAUACCAGCGGUAGAGGUUCCUUCAUCACUCGAUUCUUGAAUCUCUUCAAGCGCGAUUUUCCUCCCACUGUCUCCUUGGCUUGUGAGUUCUCGCUCUCGAAAAGCCCCUCUCCUUGCAACGAAGAUAACAUUGUCAUUUGGUCUAUAGAAGAGAUAUCCAAAAGUUUUCUGUGGGUAGCUGAUGAAAAUACAUCGCUCACUACGAGGUUCGAGCUUGUCGUGAGUAUCUCGUCUUACGAAAGCCUCACAACCCUAAGCCUUGAUAUGUGCCAACGAGGGAGCUUUCCAUGUCCACAUCUCAUGAGGUGUUUUGGCAACCUUCUUAGUAUGGACUCGGUUAAUGAUAUGGGCGGCAGUCUCUAAGGCAUACCCCCAGAAUGAGAUAGGUAGUGAAGCAUGACUCAUCAUAGAGCGAACCAUGUCUAAUAAGGUUUGAUUAUGCCUUUCUGCCACACCAUUCAAUUGUGGUGUCCUAUGUGGCGUCAAUUGCGAAACUAUUCGUCAUUCCUUGAGAUAGUCGUGGAAUUCAAGACUUAGGUACUCUCCUCCUCGAUCGGAUCGAAGCAUCUUCAUUUUCCUGCCCAAUUGAUUCUCCACUUCAUUUUUUAAUUCUUUGAACUUUUCAAAUGUUUCUAACUUCUACUUGAUUAAGUAAAUAUACCCAUAUACAUCAAUAUGUAUGAGGUCCAAUAAGCCCUUUAACAUGUGCUAGUGAAGGGUGACUUGGUCAUCUUCCAAGUAAACAAGAUUCGCAUAUGUCAUCUUCCCUAAGGUCGAAUGACUCCAACACUCCAUCCUUUUGGAGUUGGGCUAUGCGCUUCUUGUUGACAUGUCCAAGACAACAAUGCCAC